rnacentral:lncRNA from 1 species
GCCGUAAAUGUUAUUGAUCCUGUCUUCUCCAAAAUGUUGCAGAAGCUGCACCUCCACACAAUGUGAUAUUAUCAAUUUAUCACUCUGCUUUCGUGAAGGGAGUUCAAACCAACUUCAAGAUUGAACCAUCUUUUGGAGUUGAAGCCUCGCAGCUUUAUCCUGAUGUCAAGUACACUACAGUUGAUGAGUACCUCAAUCAGUUUGUGUAACCCUUCUCUGUUUCCAGCUGCAGCUUGCAGGAUCUUGGACUCUUGGUAAAUAAAUAAUUGGCUUGUUGCCAUCUUUGGUUUUAUAUGUAAAAAUUAUGGUUGUUGGCCUUACUUUCUUCUGGUUGUCCAUGGAAUUUGUUAGACCAUAUUAUGUUUGCUAUGUCAGUGAUCAAAUGAAGUAGGCCAUGUACUUGAUUUGAGAGUAGUAGUUAUAAAGCCAUCAUGAUCAGGUGGGUGCGUGGGUUGGGCUUCUAUUAGGGUGCUUGUGUUGGGCUUCAGGGGCUUGUGAUAUGGCUUCGACAGCCCCUAACGGGCAGUCAUUAUAAAAAUAAUUAUAGAGUUACAAAUCUAUGUAAAAAGCAAAAAUUAAAAGUAAUUUAUCAAUAAAAAUAAUUAAAAUUAAUAAAAAGUAGGUAUGAUAUUUCAGAAAUUAAAUUAAAGAUAGUAUUCUAAAGAGUUGGAUAAUCCUCCAACUAAACUAAAGAUCUAGUACAUUUGAGAGCAAAUUUAAUUAAAGAAAAGGAUAAGGAAAAACAAUAGAAUAAUAAUAUUAAAAAUUGCAAAUCUUGGUCUUUUUUUUUUACGAUGAUGUUGAAUUCUUAUAAAUUUAAUCUUAUCUAUAGAAUUAUUUAGUUACUGUAUGUCAAAAUUUCCUAUAAAGAUGAAGAAAAAUUAUAUUAGGAGAAGAUCCAAAUCCGUUUAACUGAUGCAUCAUCAACAACAUGAGUACAACAUUUUCGAAUAAACAAAAGAAACUCGUUUUAUGUGCGAACCAGUUCCAAAAUAAAGAGCAGACUAUUGGAAGGAGACAAAUACUACAAGAAGAACAAAACAUUCUACAGUUCCUACAUGAGCCCGCAACAAUUAAUUAUUAACUCGACAUUCAUUACACUUUUUCUUUAAUUUGACAAAGAAACCAAAAAUAAGAUAAAAUUGACUAAGAAAUAAAAAAAUGACCAAAAUCUUUUUGAAGUUUUGCCAGUUCAGCCAUGCACGCUUAUCUUUAUUCACUUGUUUCCUUUCUUUCCUUUCUUUCCUUUCUUUGCUGAAGCCUUCACAGAUCCUUUACCUUUCUGAGCCUUGCCAAUUUUCCCCUUCUUCAAACCACCUGGCCUUGCUGGAUCCACGUGUCCUUGCAUCCUUUUUCAUUCGUGGAUCAACAAGAAUCUUCCCCUUUCCAGCUCUCUCUUGAACUCCUUUCUUUGGGACCAGUAUUCUUUUGUCGGCCUUUUGGGUAUAGUUGUCUUGUAUAAUUGUUCAAUUUGAUUCCUCUUCGAACGAUCAGAGAUGUCCGCUUAGUCUGAUAUGACAUUUGCCUUCUUGCGAACCUUCUCAAGAUUUCGCAUGGCAACCCGUAUCUUUCGAGCUUUGGUCUUAGCCACCUUCUUGGCAGUAUGGGUGGGCGAUUCGGUUUUGGGAUAAACUUUUGGUUUCGUAUCGGUUUAGAUUAAAAAAUAAUAUAAAAAAAUAUUUAGAUUUUAAGGGAAAAAAUCCGAACCGAGACUCACCUAUCGAUUUCGGCUCGGUUUCAGUUCAGUUUUGAUUCUCCUAAUAGUUUUAUUUUGCCUUAUUGACUUCCGGUCAAUGACACUUUUGAAAAAUUUACAAAAAAAAAAUAAAAAAUGGCCAUAACAAAAUUUCUAUAUGCAAAUAUUUCCUAAACAUUAGGCUAUACUAAAUUUUUUUAAAAGGUAGGGAUCCAAACGAUAUUAUCCCUCUACUUCAUCUUCAACCUUCGUCAUUAGGGAUGGCAAAAUCCGAGUUCGGGUCCGGGUUUAGCCAUUCGGGAUCCGGACCCGGAUGAAUAUUUUCUGUACCAGACCCGAAAAUAAACCCGCAUUUUUCCACUUCGAGUCCGGUACGGGUUCAACCCGAAAAAAUUCGGGUUCCCUGACUGCGGGUUUCCAACUCGGAUUGAUGAAUCCAAUUGAAAAAAAAAAACUAAAUUCAACUAAAAAAAUCAAAUAGAAAUACAUAUCCAGGAUUUUAGCAAAUCAAAGAAAAAUUAUUUCAUCUGGAAACUAAUUAACAAAAACAACAAUUUUGUUUGGCUGCCCAGAAUCAGCAACCCAAUGUGGCGGCUCGUUCAAAACAUUAGUGUUUUCAACAGAUUUUGGGGUAGGAAAAGCCAAACCUAUCUAGAACAAUGAAUUUGUAUUUUUGGGGGAGAUGAGGUACCUCACUGGUUUGUUGUGUGCGGUGCAGUGUAUCUUAAAUUUGGGGGAUGUGAGAAGGGGAGAGGGAGUGGUAAUAAUGGUGAAAGGUCAAAACCAAUAGAGAUGUCCUUCAAAAUGAGCUUCACACCUGUAAAACAGUGAAAUAAAGGUUAGAGGUGAAGCUGGGGUAUCCCGGUGUUCACACUCCGACGCUCAAGUUAGCAAACUCAAGCUUUUAUGACAAAGAGAACUGGCUAGCCCUCUGUAAAUUAGGGUUUAAGGUUCAAGGAAACCUAUUUUUUGGAAUGUGAGUGUUAAUGGUGAGUGAGAGACCUCUCGGAGAAUGAAACUUAUGCGCCUUUAUAUAUGGAGUACCUCAGCUGCCACGUGACGUACCCUUUUUGGCUAACGUCAUUUUUCCUUUUUAUGAUUUUUGGGUCGUUAUGUUCAUGUUCGCCGGGUAUCUCAUCUUUUAGAAACGUGGCGCGCGCUGGAGAGUGGUCCAGGGUACCUCUGCAGUAGCUGUCGGGUAGGCGGCUGAGGACCACUGUCCUUGGGACAGUGUCCUUCACUUUUGGUAAAGGUGACAUGCGGUUGUCCCCCCUUUUAACACGACAUUUUUUAUUCCUAAUUAUGACAAAAUCAAAUAAUAUCUUUUAAGAGAUGGAGACGUUUCUCAUGGUGGAUAUUUUCGGAAGAUUCUCUUGCAUCUGAUCAGCCGGGUUCCUCUAAUUACGCAGGGUACCUCAAUUUAUGUGGGGUACCUCUAAUUUUAUGGGGUACCUCUAUUUGCGCAGGGUACCUUGAAUCAUGCCAAGUACCUUAGAUUAUGCGGAGUACCUCUAAUUGUGCGGGAUACCUCUAUUGCGCUAGGUACCUUGAAUCAUGCCGGGUACCUCAGAUUGUGCGGGGUAUCUCUAUUUGCGCAGGGUACCUUGAAUCAUGCUGGGCACCUCAGAUUGUGCGGGGUACCUUGAGUCAUGCGAGGUACCUCUAAUCAGGCCAGGUACCCUCUAAUUGUGCUGAGUACCUAUAAUCAUGCAGGGUACCUCUAAUUAGGCCGGGUACCUCUAAUCAGGCCGGGUACCUUAGAUUGUGCGGGGUACCUCUAUUUGCGCAGAGUACCUUGAAUCAUGCCGGGUAUCUCAGAUUGUGCGGGGUACCUCAAAUUGUGUGGGGUACUUCUAAUCGUGCGGGGUACCUCUAAUCAUGUCGGGUACCUCGGAUUGCACUGAAGUUAUUCCAUUCGUUGACACGUGGCGUUAUGCUAUCUUUCUUAUUUUUCCCCCAAACAACAUCCCUCUAGUUUCUUUUGGCAAGAAGUUUUGGAGGCAAAAGAAACUUACAUAAAAAGUAGAAGCGACACGUGGCGAUAUGAUGUUUAGCUCGAUGGGUAACUAAAUAGAGGGCGCCUUUAGGGGUACCCUGAGAACCCAAAAAGGGAAGAUGGGCUCCAUUUCCUCGGAAAUGGCUACCACUUUGGACAUGUUGGAAAGGAUAGAGCUAAUUGAUCAAAAAAAUUUCAUCUAUUUCUGGGGAAGAACACCAAAUACGGGUAGAGGGUAUCGUUAGGGUACCCCACCAUUAUCCAUAGUUUGUUUUCUAGUGACUGACAUGUAUAAAUCGCUCUGGUGAAGGCUUCAAUACAUUCUUUGGGCAUUUAAGAAGCAAUUAUUUGAUUAUCUCGGGAUCCACCUUAUUUAAGGGUAUAUUUCCUUCAUGUACUUUGAAGACAAAAAUAAAAUCACAGGGCUUUCUUCCUUGUAACUUCAGAGGUACCCUCGACAGAAGAAUAUAGUCGACAAUGCUUUUAAGCGUAUCAUGAUCGAGGAAUGGAGUGCUGAUCUGGGGUUGGUGGUGCCAAGAGUGGAGAAGAUGGUAGAUGAACCGGCUAUCUUGAAGGCGAUUAACGAUAGCGGGGCUCUCAACACAUCUUGGUCUGAAGGGGUAAUGCAAAUAAGUUUACGUUGAUUGGAUAUUCAGAAGAAGUAAUACGCCAUUAAAAGCAACAAGUUUUCCAAAAAGCCAACAAAGACAGACACCACCACACCACCCCGCACUGGAUGAAAAACGAUGAAAGCAUGAUAAGUGGCAUCGAGUAAGCCACGUUCUCUCUCUCUCUCUCACUCGCACUCGCACUCGCACUCGCACUCGCACUCGCACACACUGUUACUAAGGUAGUGUUUACUUUCUGGAGUGGGAGUGUGGAGUGUGGAUUCCUCCCACUCCAGUGUUUACUUACCUUAAAAAUGGGGAGAGUGGGAGUGGGAAUCCGUGGGUCCCACCUAAAUUUGGAGUGGGGAGUGGGAUUCCCACUCCCAUUGGGGGAGGUGGGAGUGGGAAUCCACUCCCCCCUCUUCCCAUUUUAUCCUUAUAAAAUUAAAAUAAAUAAAUAAUAUUUAAUAAAAUAAAUAAAUAAUAUUUAAUAAAAUAAAUAAAUAAUAUUUAAUAAAAUAAAUAAUAUUUAAUAAAAUAAAUAAUAUUUAAUAAAAUAAAUAAUAUUUCAUAAAAUAAAUAAUAUCAUAUUUAUUAAAAAUAAUAAUUAUAUCAUAUUUAUUUUAUUAAAUUUAAUAAAAUAAAUAAAUAUUAUAUUUAAAUUAAUAAUAUUAAACAUUAAUUUUAAUAAAUAUUAAUUAUUUAUUUAAUUAAUAAUAAUAAAUAUUUUAUUCUAAAAAAUAUUAAUUUUGUACUAUAUUAUCAAUAAUAAUAUUUCAUUUGUGUUGCUAUUAUUAAUAAUUUUUAUUCACAUAAUUUAAAUUAAAAUUAAUAAAAAAUUAUGAUUUACAUAAUUAAGAAUAUUAGUAAUUAUUAUUAAUUUAUAAAUAUAAUAAAAUAUUUAUUUUAUUUUCCAAAUAUAUUUUUUAUUAAUUUUUUAAUUACAAAUUAUAAUUCUGUACAUAAGGAUAAAAUUGUAAUUUAAAACAAUUUACUCUCAAUCCAAGACAAAGUAAACAAAUAAUUAGGAUUCUAAUUGACAAUCCAUACUUUCAUUUAGUCUAAGUAAACACCCUACUCCCACUCCCACUCCACACUCCUAAUCCAAGGAUUCCCACUCCUCAGGAUUCCCACUCCAAUCCAAAAAGUAAACGCAGCAUAAAAUGACCAAAAAUAAGAUUCCCCUCAAAAUAUUUUCAAGUAUCGUUCUUGAAAGUGGCGGCGGCUGAUGAUGAUGAACACAGCCGCGAUUGCGAUUGGCGAAGGCGGCGUUCAGCCCGUAUCACAGAUAGUUAUCGGUCGCGGCAGAAAAGAUAAUGAAACGACGGUUGAUGAUGAUGAUGAUGAUGUUGAACAGCCGCAAAUAUGGGUAAGUGAUGCGACAAUGAUUUGAUUUGAUGAAGAUGAGCUGAAGAUGGAAUAAGAGAGGAAAUGUUUGUGCGGCUGGGAAAGUGUAAUGAGCUGCUAGGGCACCAUUUGGGUUUUUUUGCUUUCCUAUUUAUAUUAAAAAUAAUUUUUAAAAAUUAAUAUAUAUCCGGGUUCGGGUUUUGGAUGUACGGGUUUACCUAGACCCGGACACAUGCGGAUUCAGCAGCACCGACCACCCACAGACUUGGAUUCGAUUGCAAAGUUGGGACUUAGGAUUUGGGUUUGUGGCUGCUGAAACAGAAAGUGAGAGAGUAGAAAGUAGAGACUGAGAGUGGUGCAAACAUGUGUAAUUUUGUGUGUGUGUCUAUAUAUAUAUAUAUAAUGUGAAAUUACAAAAAUGCCAUUAUAUCAGUUCAAUUCGAAUUUUGUAACUUGUGAUCCAAAAACUGAACCAAACCGAACCAUUUGGUUUGGUUUUUAUAUAUUCAGGUUUUUAAUUUAAAAAAACUAAAUUGAAAUUGAAAGAACUAAACCGAACCGAAUUUUUUUUUUUUUUGUUUCGGUUCAAUUAUGCCCAUCCCUACUUAGUAGGCUGGGCAUCAAUUUCUUUGAAUUGUGCUUUCAUUGCAGUAAUCUCCUCCUUGGUAAUAGGUUUAAUUGCUUGCUGAUGCCUCCUUUCCUCUAGUAACAACUAGUCUAACAAGCCAUCAUCGUCAAACAUGUACCUAUUAUAAGCAUCAUCCAGAAUUUGCUCUCUUUGCUUUUUGCUUAGUGUCUUCUUUGCACAAGCUAUUAUCUCAGCUUUUGUAUCAAUAUCUUUAUCUUUUGAUUCACCAGAGGAUGAAUCAUCACCGGAAUAGAGUGGUGAAGGCCCCAUAGAUUAGUGUGAUCAAGUUCUAGUGUAGUUUUGGUUUUGAUUUCAGUAUUAGGAAAAUGAAGCCUAUGAAAUUUACUAAGCUAACAUGCUUCACAAAAGUGCUUUAAUACUUGAAGAGGAUAAAUGAGGAUAAAUAAAUUUAAAUAUACAUUAGAUUUUGAGGGUUGGGAUGUCAAAACUUUUGGUGAAAAAGAGUUAGUACAAGCAUUUUUAUUGAGAUUGAAAACAUUUCUUAAGAUGAUCAAUACUAGUUACAAAAUUGGAAUGAAAAAAAAAGGCAACAUAGACAAAGGUUUGUUUAUUUGAUUGUAAGAUAGAAAAGACUUGUAUUUAGGUUGUGGAAAGGAUUUGAGCAGCAAUUUAUACAACCUUUUCUCAGCAAAACCUUCCUCUUCAAUGAAUCCUUCACAAAACAAAUAGAUCCAAGAAAUUCGACAAAUAAAUUGUUGUCAAUGGUAAGUUUUGAAAUGCUCAAUAGAUUCUUUGUAAUGGAUGGAACAAACAGUACAUCCUUAAGUAAAAUAUGUCUUAUAUUAUCUUUUUUUAAUUCUUUUUUAAAAAAUAAGUGAAUAAUAGUAUGUCAAUCUCAAAUAUCAAUAUGUACAAUUUUUAUUUGUGUAAGAAUUUGCAUCCAAUAAUCAUCAAUACAUAAUUGUCUUUUAAUUGAAUGGUUCUCACCUCCCUUCCAAACUUUGAAAAGGUAAAAUAAGAUCAAUCAUGUCAGUGGCAAUUAAUAUAAAGAUUACUUUUCUUAUUUGUAGUAACGUCCUCUGAUUAUUUAGCUGAUUUUCAAGCUACACAUUUAUUCCAUUUGAUGUUGAUAUUAGUAAAAUUAAUGUAAUAUUUAAAAAGGAAAAAAAUCCGUCGAGCUAAAAGCCGAGUAUAAAAUUGAACUGGACCCAAACCAGAAACGCACGCCAACAACAUGCUUGCGUUAGUCGGCCCAUGCCCAUAAACCCACCAAGCCCGAUCCAAAUAGAAAAAUGAAUUGGACACCCGAGAUAGCAGAAACAGAUAAGUAACGGUCGUGCUAUCCCCAAUCUCAUAUCUUCAACGGUAUCCAGCCAACAUCUCAAAGUGUUCAAUUUUUUUUUAAGCCAAAAAAAAAUUCAAAAUUUUCAAGCGGAAUCUGGGAAGAUGGCGAUGAAAAGCAAGAUUCUGGUUAUCGGCGGAACCGGAUACAUCGGUAAGUACUUAAGGUGCGUUUGAAAUUGAGGUUGAACAACUAUAACUUUAAAACUGCAGCACUAAAAUAUUUGGUAAACACUAACUGUUGUAACUUAAAAGCUAUUUAAUAUAAUUUUUCAUUUGUAUAAUAAAAAAUUUAUUAUCUUUAAUAAUUUUGUCAAAAUUAUUAUUUAAAAUAUAUACAGUAAGAGAGAUUGUAACAUUUUCAAUCUUUGGUUUGAUAUUCUGGAAGAAAACGGUUUGCCGUUUACGGAGAAAAUGGCUAACCGUUUAAUUUCAUAGAGCAUGUUUUCUAUUCUAGAGAAAACGACUAACCGUUUGGAGAAAAUGGCUAACCGUUUGGAGAAAACGGCUAACCGUUUUGAGAAAACGGCUAACCGUUUAAUUCCAGAGAGCAUGUUUUCUGUUCUAAAGAAAAUGACUAACCGUUUGGAUAAAACGACCAACCAUUAAUUACAGAGAGUAACUUAUUUGACAUUCUGGAAUAAAACGGCUCACCGUUAUUGAGAAAACGGCUAACCGUUUAUUUCCAGAGAGCGUGUUUUUGCGUCAACUGGAAAAACGGUUAGCAAGCUUGGAAAUUUCAAUUGUCAAUCGAUGCAAACUCAAACCAAAAGAGUGUUUUUUAAAAGAAGUACCAUUUUUAAUGGUUGUAUUCUUUCAAAUAAACAUCUUCUUUAUUAAAGAUAGACAAACUAUUAUAUCAUAAUCAGAUUUUGCAGGUUUCAUAUAUGUUCUGGAAAUACAAUCUUAUUUUCUAGAGAUUGUAUUCAGGAUUUGAUAUAUCUUAGGGGUAAUUUGCCAUUAAAACUCUAUAGCAAACCAAGAUUGGUGAGGGCAAAUAAAACCUUAAAGAAAAGUGUGCAAACACGUCUCAAAUCCUAAGAUCUUUUCUUUGUUCUUUGCCUCCAUAUUCUUAAAAUUUGAAAAUUCACCCAUCAAUCUUUAAGGUUUUAUUUUGAUGCAAAUAGAGGCUGAGAAGAGUUUGACGCCAUUUCUUAAUCCUAGUGUCCAUCUCGAUCGUUUUGAUGGAACAAAUUUCACUCGUUGGAAGGGAAAAUUGUUCUUUCUUCUUACUGUUCUUAAAGUGACAUAUGUUCUUGAUCCGAAAUUGGAACCAUUUCCAGAACCAAGAGAAGAUGAUACCGAAGUUGUUAAGGCUGCAAGGAAACGUCGUGAAGAUGAUGAAUUGAUGUGCCGGGGUCACAUACUCAAUACGCGUUCUGACAGGUUAUAUGAUCUCUACAAUUUUAUGACUUCUCUGGUGGAAAUUUGGAAUGCUCUUAAGUACAAAUACAAAACGGAGAAAGAAGGUACUGACAAAUUCCUUGUCUCUAAAUAUUUUGAAUUUAUUAUGGUAGACACACAAUCCAUUCUUGAUCAAAUACAUGAGUUAUAAAUUAUUGUUGCUAAGCUUCGAGAGUUAAAAGUUGAAAUUUUUGAAUCAUUUCAAGUUGGGACUAUUAUUGCUAAAUUGCCUCAAAGUUGGAAUGAUUAUAGAAAGAAACUCCUUUAUAGUAAAGAGAACAUAACUUUAGAAGAAUUGCAAAAACACUUGGUAAUUGAAGAAGAGACUAGGUCUCGCGAAUCCAAGGAUAAGCAUGAUUCUACUAAAGUUAAUGUUCUUGAAGCUAGUAAAUUCUCAAAGAAUUUUAAAGUCAAGAAUGACAAGAAAUUUAAGAAGUCCAGCACACAAAAGUUUUCUGGAAAUUGUUUCUUUUGUGGUAAGAAAGGUCAUCGCCCAAGUGAUUGCAGAUUCAAGAAAAAAAAAGGAAGAAGUGAAUUCCUAUAAAGCUAAUGUUAUUGAAAACAAAUCUGAAAAGAUUUGUGCUAUGGUUUCUGAAAUGCAAAUUGGCAUGAUUAUCGAAACCAAUAUGGCUGAAACUAAGUCCUAUGAUUGGUGGCUCGAUUCGGGUACAACAAUUCAUGUUUGUAAUGAUAAGAAAUUUUUAUUAUCAUACAAAGAAGAAACGGAAGGACAAAUGGUUCUCAUGGGGAACAAUAAUGCAGCCAUAGUAGCAGGGAAAUGAGUAGUUGAGAUCAACUUCACUUCUAGAAAGAAAGUCACAUUGUAUAAUGUCUUUCAUGUACCUUUCGUUAGGAAGAAUCUUAUUUUUGCUAGUUGUAUGUGUAAGCAUGGGCUUAAGAUUGUGCUUGAGGGUAAUACUUGUAUUAUCUCAAAGAAUGAAUUAUUUGUUGGGAAAUGGUAUUCUUGUGAUGGAAUGUACAAACUCAACAUUAAUAAUAAUAAUAUCAACUUAGCUUAUAUUGUUGAGUCUUGUGAUGUUUGGCAUGCUAAAUUAGCACAUUUGAAUUUUAGAUCUUUGAAAUACAUGUCUGAGCAUGGUUUGAUUAAUUGCAAUGAUGUUAAAGGUCAUAAGUGUGAAAUCUGCAUCCAAGCUAAAUUAACUAAGAAACAUUUUCUUAAAGCCGAACGAAAUACUCAAAUAUUGGAUUUAAUAUAUACCGAUAUUUGUGAGUAUAAUGGCGUUUUAACAAGAGGAGGUAAGAAGUACUUUAUCACUUUUAUUGAUGAUUGUUCUAGAUACACUUAUGUGUAUUUACUUAGAACAAAAAAUGAAGCUUUUGAUAAAUUUAAAAUUUUCAAAGCUGAAGUUGAGAACUAAAAAGAUAAGAAAAUCAAAAUGGUUCGUAGUGAUAGAGGUGGUGAAUAUUUCUCAAUUGAAUUUAAUAAUUAUUGUGAAGAAUUUGGAAUUAUUCACCAAAGAUCAGCUCCAUUUACUCCUCAACAAAGUGGUUUGGCUAAAAGAAAGAAUAAGAUCUUCACGGAUAUGAUAAAUUCCAUGAUCCUUAAUGCAAAACUACCAAAUAAUUGGUGGGAGGAAGCAUUACUCACUGCAUGUCAUAUUCAUAACAGAAUUACAUCUUUGAAAACACAUAUAUCUCUUUAUGAAAUUUGGAAAGGAAGAAAACCAAACUUGAUGUAUUUAAGGGUCUAGGGUUGUUUAGCUUUUUAUAAAAUACAUGAUCCUAAAUCAUCAAAGUUAAGUGCUAGAUGUAUAAAGAGUGUUUUCGUAGGAUAUGCUGAAAAUUCCAAGGCUUAUAGGUUGUUAGAUUUAGAUUAUAAUGUGAUUGUGGAAUCUAGAGAUGUUGAAUUUAUUGAGAAUAAAUUUCAACAUGAUUCUAAUAUUGAAUUAGAAUCAAUUAUUGAUCAACCAUGUGUUAAUACUCCUGUUACCUCCACUAACAAUAAUAAAAGGAAAGACUCUAUGACAUCUUUCGAACCAAUGAGGAGUCAAGGUGAAAAGAAAGAAAAGAGUUUAGCUCCGAAUUUUAUUUCAUCACAAGCACUGCUCUUCUUGGUUGAAGGGGAUAGAAAGAAUGUACUUAACAAAGUACCAUUGUUGUUAAAUAUUGAAAAAGAUCCAAAGACAUUUAGCGAAGCUAUGUCUUCUAGAGACGCUUCUUUUUGGAGAGAGGCGGUAAAUGAUGAAAUUGAUUCGAUUAUUUCGAAUCAAACAUGGGUCUUGGUUGAUCUUCCUCUAGGAUCUAAACCAAUUAGCAGCAAAUGGGUAUUUAGAAGAAAGUACAAUAGUGAUGGUUCUUUGCAAACUUUUUAGGCUAGAUUAGUAGCCAAAGGGUUUAAGCAAAGAAAUGGUAUUGGUUAUUUCGAUACAUAUGCUUCGGUAGCAAGGUUAACUUCUAUAAGAGUGCUAUUUGCAAUUGCUUCAUUGAAUAAUUUGUAUGUGCAUCUAAUGGAUGUUAAAACCGCUUUUCUUAAUGGUGAUCUUGAUGAAGAAAUCUAUAUGGAACAACCUGAGGGAUUUGUUUUACCAGGAAAUGAGAAAAAAGGUAUGCAAGUUAGUCAAAUCACUUUAUGGUUUAAAGCAAGCACCAAAACAAUGGCAUGAGAAGUUUGAUUCGGUAAUUUUAUCUCAUGGUUUUAAGCAUAAUAAUGCUGAUAAAUGUAUAUAUUUUAAAUUUACGAAUGAUUUUGGUGUGAUUAUAUGCUUGUAUGUUGAUGACUUGCUUAUCUUUGGAACAAAUAUGCAAGGAGUAGAUGAUACAAAGAAGUAUUUAACUUCACAAUUUAAGAUAAAAGAUCUUGGUGAAGUAGAUACUAUCUUAGGUGUCAAAGUGAAGAAACAUAGUGGGGGUUACUCGUUGUGUCAAUCUCAUUAUAUAGAGAAAGUGCUUCUUAAAUUCAAUUAUUUGAAAUUUAAAGAAGCUAAUACCCCAUAUGAUUCUAGUAUUAAAUUAUUAGAGAAUUCAGGCCGAGUAGUAGCACAACUAGAAUAUGCUAGUGCUAUUGGUAGCUUGAUGUAUGCUAUGCAUUGUACGAGGCCUGAUAUAGCAUUUGCAGUUUGCAAAAUGUCAAGAUUCACGAGUAACCCUAGUGUUGAACACUGGAAAUCAAUUGGUAGAAUACUUGGUUAUCUUAAAAGGACCAUUAAUUUGGGUUUGUUUUAUAAUGAUUAUCCUGAAGUACUGGAAGGAUAUUCAGAUGCUAGUUGGGUAACCAAUAUAAGAGAUAAUAAAUCCACUUCUGGUUGGAUUUUUACAAUUGCUGGAGGAGCAGUUGCUUGGGCUUCAAAGAAACAAACGUACAUAACUCAUUCAACAAUGGAAAGUGAGUUUAUAGCACUCGCAGUUGCAAGCAAGGAAGUAGAAUGGCUGAGAAAUUUGUUGUUUGAUAUAAUGUUAUGGCCACAACCGAUGCCAUCUAUUUCUUUGUACUGCGAUAGUGAAGCUACAUUGUCUAGAGCUUAUAAUAAAGUGUAUAAUGGAAAGUCUAGACAUAUUAGCUUGAGACAUGAAUAUGUGAAACAAUUAAUAGCAGAUGGUGUUAUUAAUAUUGUUUAUGUUAGGACUAAUAAGAACCUAGCGGAUCCUUUAACAAAAGGUCUUACAAGAGACUUAGUUAAGGAUACAUCUUUUGGAAUGGGAUUGAAACCUUUAAAUAAUAAAGUCACCAACGACGAUAACCCAACUAUGUAGUAGUUGCACCGCUACUCCAUAGUUAAAUGGAUAAUAACAAGUUGUUGUUAUGUGACUGGUUUGGCACCGAGUAAUAAAUAAUCACAUUCGAGAUAUUCGGUGCAAAUAGCUACGAGGUUGAGGUUGAGUAUUUACUCUUAAUGAAGUUCAAGUCUUAUACUAGCUAAAGACAUGAUUUGAAACUUCACCUAAGUGAACAUAAGAAAUGGUGCCGUUUCUAACAAGAUCAUGGUUUAAUCUAGUAAAUGUUCAUGAAUCCAAGAUAGAGCACAAGGCCGGAAUAGUGCUAAAUAUUGGAACACAACUUUGAAAAUCUGGGAUAGCUUAUAUGUGAUGUAUCUCCGGUAUUUACUUAAGAGACAAAGUUUAAUGCUUAGCACACUAUUGUUUUGUAAAUGCUUUGAAAUACACUCACUAAUUAAAGGUUAAAAUCGAAAGAUAUCUUUUUGUAUGUAUAAGUUUAUCAUUAAUAAAUAUGAAAAAUAUUACAAUCUAGUGGGGGAUUGUAAGAGAGAUUGUAACAUUUUCAAUCUUUGGUUUGAUAUUCUGGAAGAAAACGGUUUGCCGUUUAUGGAGAAAACGACUAACUGUUUAAUUCCAAAUAGCAUGUUUUCUAUUCUAGAGAAAACGACUAACUAUUUGGAGAAAAUGGCUAACUGUUUAAUUUUAGAGAGCAUGUUUUCUGUUCUAGAGAAAACGGCUAACCGUUUGGAUAAAACGGCCAACCGUUAAUUACAGAGAGCAACUUAUUUGACAUUCUGGAAUAAAACGGCUCACCGUUAUUGAGAAAACGGCUAACCAUUUAUUUCCAGAGAGCGUGUUUUUGCGUCAACUGGAAAAACGGUUAGCAAGCUUGGAAAUUUCAAUUGUCAAUCGAUGCAAACUCAAACCAAAAGAGUGUUUUUUUAAAGAAGUACCAUUUCUAAUAGUUGUAUUCUUUCAAAUAAACAUCUUCUUUAUUAAAGAUAGACAAACAAUUAGAUCAUAAUCAGAUUUUGCAGGUUUCAUAUAUGUUUUGGAAAUACAAUCUUAUUUGCUAGAGAUUGUAUUCAGGAUUUGAUAUAUCUUGGGGGUAAUUUGCCAUUAAAACUCUAUAGCAAACCAAGAUUGGUGAGGGCAAAUAAAACCUUAAAGGAAAGUGUGCAAACACGUCUCAAAUCCUAAGAAUUGUUUUUUGUUCUUUGUCUCCAUAUUCUUAAAAUUCGAAAAUUCACCCAUCAUAUACAUACUACAUAUUAUUAAUUUUUGUUUUAUAACUAUAGUUUUUUUUUUACCGCAACUGUAGUUUAAAAACUGCAGCACCUCAAUCCCAAAUAAGACCUUAGUAGAAGUGAGCGCGAAAGCCGAUCACCCAACAUUCGAGCUUGUGAGAGACUCCACUCUCUCCACUCCUUCCAAAUCCAAAAUCCUCGACCGUUUCAAAAAUCUCAGCGUCAAUUUAGUUCAUGUGCGCCACUCUUUUAGCUUUCCAAUUUUCCCGCCAAUUUUCUUUUAUUGUGAUUAAUUAAUUAAUUAAUGUAAAGAUUUUAUAUUAUAAUUUUGUUUGCAGGGAGAUCUAUACAGCCAUGAGAGCUUGGUGAGUACAAUAAAGCAAGUGGAUGUGGUGAUAUCAGCGAUAGGUCGCACUCAAUUAGCUGAUCAACUCAACAUUAUCGCAGCAAAUUGCGAUAACUAAGUACUUGGGAUUUUAAAGAAGCUGGAAAUGUUAAGGUUCUGAUUAACUUAAGUAAAUGCGUUAACUAAUUACUUGGGAUUUUAAAUUCAAAUGUGUGAAUUGUUCUAAAAAAUUAUUUAUGUUUAUUAGUCAGAGAUUCUUUCCUUCAGAAUUUGGAAAUGAUGUUGAUCGCGUGCAUGUCGUUGAGCCAGCAAGAACAUCAUUUGCCACCAAGGCUAAAAUCCGCCGAGCUGUUGAGGAUGAAGGAAUUCCAUACACCUACGUAGCUUCCAAUUUCUUCGCUGGUUUGUAUCUUUCCAGUUUCUCACAGCCUGAAGCCACAGCUCCUCCAAGGGAUAAAGUGGUCAUCGUAGGUGAUGGAAAUGCAAAAGGCAAAGCGCUUCUGGAUACAUUUACUCUGUACACGCAAUGUGUGGUUACUGUUUGGAGAUAAAAAAGGAGAUUAAUUAAUAAAGAAAAUGAAAUUAUUGAGGGAUUUGCUGAAGAGUUGCGUGCACUCCUCAUUUUUCUCCACCACUCAUCUUACUUGCAAAAUGCAAUGACCAAACUAUCCUCGCCAAAGCCUAGACAUUUACUUGUGUUCAAAGGCCAUUUAAGGGAGACAAGUACAAAAAGUUAUAAAGGAUAGUAAGCAGAAGAAGAAAAUGGAAAGGGGAGGGGGGGGGGGGGAGAAAGAAAAAAGGGAAUGGGGCGUUAUCUAGGGAGGAAUUUUAUUUUUAUUUUUUUUUCUCUCUUUCUCCCACUAAGAAAUUCUUUCUUUUACACUCUAUUUUACUUUUAUGUAAAUUAUGCAAAAAACUUUUGAUUUUAAGGCAAUGUUUAUUAAGCCACGUGAAUUUGAAAAAGCAUGAAUAAGGGGAUGAUUUUAACACAUUAAUUCACCAACAUUAAUUGGAAAAGAUCAGUUGCCACUUCGAAUCAGAGUAAUUUCUUCGGCAAUAGCCAAAUAUUGAUAUUUGAUCUUGACACUGUAGUUAAAUCAAUGUAACUGAUUUUGUCAUUUGAUCCCCAGUAAUUUUUAACAAGGAAGACGAUAUUGGAAUUAAUUCUAUCAAAGCGGUGGAUGAUCCAAGAACACUGAACAAAAUACUUUACAUCAGACCCCGUUGCAAUAUCUACUCAUUUAAUGAUCUUGUGUCUCUGUGGGAGGAAAAGAUUGGCAAAGCCCUUGACAGGGUCUAUGUUACAGAGGAACAACUUCUGAAAAACAUUCAAGGUUAGUUAGAACUAUCACUUUAUCAAGUGGAUAGAUGUAACUGACCGAUAAUGGAAAUUUUUUUCCUUCUCCAAAAUGCGAUAGAAUCUAAUCGGUUUCAACAAUCUCAAGAACACCUAUUCAUGGUUGUGUUGUUUGAAAUCUGUAUGUAUCAGUUUUCUUUCUAGAUCUCAGAUUGCUCGCAAGGAUGUCAAGUUUUGAUGAUGCUUGCCUGUUUUCCUGUGUUUACAGAAGCUUCAUAUCCACUCAAUAUGAUAUUACCUAUUGGGCACUCUGCCUAUGUCCUGGGAGAUCAGACCAACUUCGAAAUUGAACCUUCAUUUGGAGUAGAGGCAACAGAGCUUUAUCCAGAUGUCAACUACACUACUGUGGAUGAGUACCUCAACCAGUUCAUAUAAACCUUCUGAGAUGAGCAGCAGGAUCCUAACAAAAAAUUGGGUGGUUUCCAUCCCUGAUUCUAUGGUAUAAAGAUAGCGGCUUUCCCUGCUUUUGCCAGUUCAGUGAAGUUUGUUAGAUGAUGUUAUUUAUACUAUACUAGCAAAGAUCAAGUUGCCUUUCUUGUCAAGAAGCCAAGCUCUGGCAUUGGUUUAUGCUAGUUUUUCACACUAAUAUUGGUAUUCACUAAUUUUUUUUUUCAUUUCACACCUCCAUCAUCAGUGGAGAUGCCCUCUUGUAUGGUACUAACUUUGAUUUUCCUUAUGCUUCACUUGCUGUCUCUGCAGAUUCGUAAAAGAUCAUUCAUGGAUAAGAUCAGAACAUCAAUAUGAUACAGUAUGCAUUGAGAACUCCCACAUGAUUCUUGUUCUAGUUCUGGUUAGACAUGAAACAUGUUACAGUUCCAUAACUUGAGACAUUGUCAUUCAACAAUUAUCAUCACAUUAAAACAGUGGCCAAUCCCUAACAGCUACCUUUUGACUCUUCACAUUUUUUUUCUGCAUUUUAUGCGCAUUAAUUAUCUAGACCUAGACUUAUUACACUUCUCAGCCUGGCCCGUUGGACAGUGAGUGAUGAAACAAAUUUUUUUUCAUGUUUAUUACUUUUUUUGCAUUCAAAAUGAUAAAACUGCAGAGGUUGUUGCAUGCACGUCAUUUGUUAGUAGGGGUAUCAAUUUAUGAACGUAUGAAGUAUCUCUUCUGCACCGGCAUCCUCCUUAACUGUCAGUAGGAUCACAAUAAGUCGACCAACCAUCUACCGUAUGGAUUAUCUAUAAAUUGAAAUUGGUGUGUAUUAUGGAUCUGUCACUCUGCUGUUUCUGUUUUCUUUUCUAUUUUUACCAAGAAAGAAACAUUGUUAAAACUGAAUGGUUGUUAUCUCGUCUUGUUGUAAUGUUGUGUAUGCUUUCUAGAAAAUAAUGAAGUGCCAAAUAUGAAAAUACUAGUGGCUACCUUACCAUCCUUAAUAAGUUGUCUGAUUGUCACCGUCAACAAUCACUCUCAGCAACUCAUAAUCCAUUUAAGCAUAUUAUAAAAUAAUCAAUUUUGUAUUUGCACCAACUUUUAGUUUUAAAUGACAAUUUCGUUGAUCCCCACACUUCUGUACUAAUCAAAUCCACUGAAACUGGACUUUUUUUUCUUUUUUUUUAUAAUUACAUCGAUUGCAUUGGCUAUUGCAGGGAAAAGACUGCCUCUACAGGGAACUAAACUUUCAGAAUUGUUCUUAUGAGGGUUUGAAUAUGCUCUCGUACUAGGUCAAUGGCCUAUUGGUUCGAGACCAUUCACAAAGAAAGAAAUGAGUUUUGCUUGUAUAAAUGAAAGAAAUCCAAAUGAUAACUAAUGUAUAGUGGUACAUGAGAAAAAUAAUUUCAGCCCCUGUGUAAAGUCAAAAAGAGAAAAUAUUAAAAGAAAGGAUAAUGUCAUUGAGUUCGGUGAAGUGAAAGAAAAUGAAAAACAUGGGAUUUAGUCAAACUUAGUGUCCCAAUCAGCAGAAAAAGGUUUUAGAAACUCACCUCAAGUUAAGCCAACUAUUAGGAGCUUUAUUUAAUCAUGGCUUUCUAAUGUAUAGUACUCCAAUACUAAACGAGGGCUACCUCUACGCUUGCAAAUGUAAAUGAAAUUGAGUUCGUGACGCACAAUGAAGUGAGCAAAAUGAGUUGAGAUCUGAGAAUAUAUUAAAGAAAAUAUGAAUCAAUGAAUUUUGGUUAAAAAAAACAAAUGCUGGUUCUUCAAGACCUGCGUGUAUUGUGUAAGUUUUGUUAGGAGAAGGAAAGCAUUUUGGUCUAAAACGCACUAAAUCGGAUUCAUUUGCUUGAUAUCUAAUAAGGGUGAAUUAACCACUCGCCCACAGCAAUUCAAGUCCCCAAAAAAGUAUUGUGGGGGCUAAAUUUCUUCUUUAAUUAUAACAAAUAAUUGAGCGGAGGAUAAAAAUUUAGGCCAUGUAUAACAAUAACUAAUAUAAACUAGUCCUAAUAAUAGUAUAAUUGUAAAUAUCAGUUAUAGUCUCAUACAAUAUAAGUUUAUAGAUUAUAAUAUCGGCAUAAAAAGAAAAAUGAUAUCUGAGGGUCAAUCAAUAAAAGGACAAAAACUUGGAGUAACAUACCACAAAGUCAAUGUAGCUGGACAGAUGAAUAUAAUAUGUAAACAAAUUUAAAUGGGAUAAUACCAUACGGUACAUACAUAACAUUUUAAAACUGAAUUAAAAAAAUAAAAUUAAAACUGAAUUGGAAUUCGUAUGUGUAUCCAGCUACCUUGCCACAGUUGUAAGGUACCCUAACUUUGCAACAAUUUCAUCCUUCGUGCAUUCGGUCACAAAGUCCAAAUUAGGCACGUUUAAGAAUCGAACUGAAAAACUAAAAAAAAGAAUCCGGCGAUAUUUGCGAACCGGAAACGAGCCAGCGUUAUGCUUAUGUCAUUUCAGAGAUAUCAACAGUCGUGCUUUCAGUCCUUAAACCUCAAGGGCAUUUUCGUCCUUUCACUCAAGCGUGAAACUGCAUGUAAGAACUGCUUCGCUUACACGCUCCAUGCACAUUUAAAGGCACCACUGUCGGAUAAAAAAUAUCCAUCCAUUUGAUCAUUUCAAAACAAAACGAAAAAAAAAAUCUCAGUAAUUGAACUGAACGAGUCUCAGAAAUGGCAUCGAAAAGUAAGAUUCUAUUCAUCGGCGGGACAGGGUAUAUCGGUAAAUUCACUGUCGAAGCGAGCGUAAAAGCCGGCCACCCGACGUUCGUGCUCGUGAGAGAAUCCACAAUCUCUGGUCCUUCCAAAUCUCAACUCCUCGAUCACUUCAAAAACCUCGGCGUCAAUCUCGUCAUAGUGCGUUUUCAUUUUUCUCUUUUCUUAAUUUUUUAUUCCGAUCAUUUUUACACGUCGAAGUGUAGCAUCUACUACUUAAUAUACAUAAUGAUAUUAUUAUUUUUUAAUUUUUUUUGGUUGCUGUUAUUAUUAUGCAGGGAGAUGUGUUGAAUCACGAGAGUUUGGUGAAGGCGAUUAAACAAGUGGACGUGGUGAUAUCAACGGUCGGUCACACUUUAUUAGCUGAUCAGGUCAAGAUUAUUGCUGCCAUUAAAGAAGCCGGUAACGUUAAGGUAUAACAUAAUUAAUAUAAAUAUCUUGAAUUCCGAUCAGGAUUGUGCACUCGCGAACACGUGGUGAUUUAUUCUUGGUGUGGAGCUCGCUGUAGAGUAGAGCUCCCAGUUCAGCUAAUAAACACCCCGUCACAUGCGCAAUUGCGCCUCAAAAUAAUUUAAUUGAUUAAUUAAGGAUAAAUACCAAUGGCAUGAAAGCAAUUAAAAUUAGUUGAUGUUUAUAAAUUAUUUAUUACUCAGAGAUUCUUACCAUCGGAAUUUGGAAAUGAUGUUGAUCGAGUCGAAGGCGCCGUAGAGCCAACAAAAUCGACGUAUGACGUAAAGGCGAAAAUCCGCCGAGCCGUUGAGGCAGAAGGCAUUCCGUACACUUACGUAGAAUCUUAUUGUUUUGAUGGCUAUUUCCUCCCCAAUUUGUUGCAGCCUGAGGCCACUGCCCCCCCUAGGGAUAAGGUUGUCAUCUUAGGCGAUGGAAAUCCAAAAGGUAAUAUAAUUUAAUUAAGCUCUGUUUGUUUGGUAUGUAUUGCGGUGUUAAUGUUAUUGUCUGUUGUACAAUGGAUGGUCUUGCUUGGUACUGUUGUUGGAGAGCUGCAGUGUUUUGAUAAACACCUCUAUCCUUAGCUUUCAAGUUAAGUUGAUUUUAUACAACACUUGUUUAAUUCAAAACUUGUAAUAUUCUUACUACUUUGAUAAAAAAAUAUUACGAUUAAAGCAUUAAUGGCACCAUAAUACGAAAUGAAUCUUAAGUGGUCAUUAUAGAUUUUAAGAUAGAGUUUUAAGUGAUUACCAGAUACUUUAGCUGCUGAACCGCCACAUCAUGGUUGCCACACAACAAUUUCAAACAGAACCUAAAUAACUUCAUUGCAAAACAGUUAAAUGAAUCUAACUUAGUUUCGUCGUUUGAUUUUCAGCUGUUUUUAACAAGGAAGAUGAUAUUGGAACCUACACUAUCAAAGCGGUUGAUGAUCCGAGAACCUUGAACAAAAACUUUUACAUUCAGCCUCCCGGUAAUAUUUACUCAUUCAAUGAUCUUGUGUCUCUGUGGGAGAGAAAGAUUGGUAAAACCCUCGAAAAGGAGUAUGUUUCAGAGGAGCAGCUCCUAAAGAAUAUUCAAGGUUGGUUAAAACUCUCUUUUUUAAAUGUAUUAAAGAGAGCCGUAUAUUCUCUGCCGUAAAUGUCAUUGAUCCUGUCUUCUCCAAAAUGUUGCAGAAGCUGCACCUCCACACAAAGUGAUAUUAUCAAUUUAUCACUCUGCUUUCGUGAAGGGAGUUCAAACCAACUUCAAGAUUGAACCAUCUUUUGGAGUUGAAGCCUCGCAGCUUUAUCCUGAUGUCAAGUACACUACAGUUGAUGAGUACCUCAAUCAGUUUGUGUAACCCUUCGCUGUUUCCAGCUGCAGCUUGCAGGAUCUUGGACUGUUGGUAAAUAAAUAAUUGGCUUGUUGCCAUCUUUGGUUUUAUAUGUAAAAAUUAUGGUUGUUGGCCUUACUUUCUUCUGGUUGUCCAUGGAAUUUGUUAGACCAUAUUAUGUUUGCUAUGUCAGUGAUCAAAUGAAGUAGGCCAUGUACUUGAUUUGAGAGUAGUAGUUAUAAAGCCAUCAUGAUCAGGUGGGUGCGUGGGUUGGGCUUCUAUUAGGGUGCGUGUGUUGGGGGGCUUCAGGGGCUUGUGAUAUGGGUUCGACAGCCCCUAACGGGCAGUCAUUAUAAAAAUGAUUAUAGAGUUACAAAUCUAUGUAAAAAGCAAAAAUUAAAAGUAAUUUAUCAAUAAAAAUAAUUAAAAUUAAUAAAAAGUAGGUAUGAUAUUUCAGAAAUUAAAUUAAAGAUAGCAUUCUAAAGAGUUGGAUAAUCCUCCAACUAAACUAAAGAUCUAGUACAUUUGAGAGCAAAUUUAAUUAAAGAAAAGGAUAAGGAAAAACAAUAGAAUAAUAAUAUUAAAAAAUUGCAAAUCUUGGUCUUUUUUUGUUACGAUGAUGUUGAAUUCUUAUAAAUUUAAUCUUAUCUAUAGAGUUAUUUAGUUACUGUAUGUCAAAAUUUCCUAUAAAGAUGAAGAAAAAUUAUAUUAGGAGAAUAUCCAAAUCCGUUUAACUAAUGCAUCAUCAACAACAUGAGUACAACAUUUUCGAAUAAACAAAAGAAACUCGUUAUAUGUGCGAACCAGUUCCAAAAUAAAGAGCAGACUAUUGGAAGGAAACAAAUACGACAAGAAGAACAAAACAUUCUACAGUUCCUACAUGAGCCCGCAACAAUUAAUUAUUAACUCGACAUUCAUUACACUUUUUCUUUAAUUUGAAAGAAACCAAAAAUAAGAUAAAAUUGACUAAGAAAUAAAAAAGUGACCAAAAUCUUUUUGAAGUUUUGCCAGUUCAGCCAUGCACGCUUAUCUUUAUUCACUUGUUUCCUUUCUUUCCUUUCUUUCCUUUCUUUCCUUUCUUUGCUGAAGCCUUCACAGAUCCUUUACCUUUCUGAGCCUUGCCAAUUUUCCCCUUCUUCAAACCACCUGGCCUUGCUGGAUCCACGUGUCCUUGCAUCCUUUUUCAUUCGUGGAUCAACAAGAAUCUCCCCCUUUCCAGCUCUCUCUUGAACUCCUUGCUUUGCGACCAUGUAUUCUUUUGUAGGCCUUUUGGGUAUAAUUGUUCAAUUUGAUUCCGCUUCGAACGAUCAGAGAUGUCCGCUUAGUCUGAUAUGACAUUUGCCUUCUUGCGAACCUUCUCAAGAUUUCGCAUGGCAACCCGUAUCUUUCGAGCUUUGGUCUUAGCCACGCUCUUGGCAGUAAGGGUGGGCGAUUCGGUUUUGGGAUAAACUUUUGGUUUCGUAUCGGUUUAGAUUCAAAAAUAAUAUAAAAAAAUAAGUAGAUUUUAAUGGAAAAAAUCCAAACCGAAACUGACCUAUCGAUUUCGGCUCGGUUUCAGUUCAGUUUCGAUUCUCCUAAUAGUUUUAUUUUGCCUUAUUGACUUCCGGUCAAUGACACUUUUGAAAAAUUUACAAAAAAAAAAAAAACUGGCCAUAACAAAAUUUCUAUAUGCAAAUAUUUCCUAAACAUUGGGCUAUACUAAAUUUUUUUCAAAGGUAGGGAUCCAAACGAUAUUAUCCCUCUACUUCAUCUUCAACCUUCGUCACUAGGGAUGGCAAAAUCCGAGUCCGGGUCCGGGUAUAGCCAUUCCGGAUCCGGACCCGAACGAAUAUUUUCUAUACCGAACCCAGAAAUAAACCCGCAUUUUUCCACUCCGAGUCCGAUACGGGUUCAACCCGGAAAAAUUCGGGUUCCCAGACUGCGGGUUUCUAACCCGGAUUGAUGAAUCCAAUUGAAAAAAAAAACUAAAUUUGACUAAAAAAAUCAAAUAGAAAUACAUAUCUAGGAUUUCAACAAAUCAAAAAAAAAUUAUUUCAUCUGGAAACUAAUUAACAAAAACAACAAUUUUGUUUGGCUGCCCAGAAUCAGCAACCCAAUGUGGCGGCUCGUUCAAUACAUUAGUGUUUUCAACAGAUUUUGGGGUAGGAAAAGCCAAACCUAUCUAGAACAAUGAAUUUGUAUUUUUGGGGGAGAUGGGGUACCUCACUAGUUUGUUGUAUGCGGUGCAGUGUAUCUGAAAUUUGGGGGAGGUGAGAAGGGGAGAGGGAGUGGUAACAAUGGUGAAAGGUCAAAACCAAGAGAGAUGUCCUUCAAAAUGAGCUUCACACCUGUAAAACAGUGAAAUAGAGGUUAGAGGUGAAGCCGGGGUACCCCGGCAUUCACACUCCGACGCUCAAGUUAGCAAACUCAAGCUUUUAUGACAAAGAGAACUGGCUAGCCCUCUGUAAAUUAGGGUUUAAAGUUCAAGGAAACCUAUUUUUUAGAGUGUGAGUGUUAAUGGUGAGUGAGAGACCUCUUGGAGAAUGAAACCCAGGUGCCUUUAUAUAUGGAGUACCUCAGCUGCCACGUGGCGUACCCUUUUUAGCUAACGUCUUUUUUCUUUUUUAUGAUUUUUUGGCCGUUAUGUGCAUGUUCGCGGCGUAUCUCAUCUUUUGGAAAUGUGGCGUGCGCUGGAGAGUGGUCCAGGGUACCUCUGCAGUAGUUUUCGGGUAGGCGGCUGAGGACCACUGUCCUUGGGACAAUGUCCUUCACUUUUGGUAGAGGUGACAGGCGGCUGUCCCCCCUUUUAGCACGACAUUUUUUAUUUCUAAUUCUGGCAAAAUCGAAUAAUAUCUUUUAAGAGAUGGAGACGUUUCUCAUGUUAGAUAUUUUCGGAGGAUUCUCUUGCAUCCGAUCAGCCGGGUUCCUCCAGUUACGCGGGGUACCUCAAUUUAUGUGGGGUACCUCUAAUUGUGCGGGGUACCUUUAUUUGCGCAAGGUACCUUGAAUCAUGCCAGGUGCCUCAGAUUAUGUGAGGUAUCUCUAAUUGUGCGGGAUACCUCUAUUUGCGCAAGGUACCUUGAAUCAUGCUGGGUACCUCAGAUUGUGUGGGGUACUUCUAUUUUCGCAGGGUACCUUGAAUCAUGUUGGGCACCUCAGAUUGUGCGGGGUACCUCUAUUUGCGCAGGGUACCUUGAGUCAUGCGAGGUACCUCUAAUCAGGCCAGGUACCUCUAAUCGUGCUGGGUACGUCUAAUCAUGCGGGGUACCUCUAAUCAGGCCGGGUACCUCUAAUCACGCUGGGUACCUCUAAUCAUGUGGGGUACCUCUAAUCAGGCCGGAUACUUCAGAUUGUGCGGGAUACCUCAGAUUAUACGGGGUACCUCUAUUUGCGCAAGGUACCUUGAAUCAUGUCAGGUAUUUCAGAUUGUACGGGGUACCUCUAAUCGUGCGGGGUACCUCUAAUCAUGUCGGGUACCUCGGAUUGCACUGAAGUUAUUCCAUUCGUUGACACGUGGCGAUAUGCUAUCUUUCCUAUUUUUCCCCCAAACAACAUCCCCCUAGUUUCUUUUGGCGAGAAGUUUUAGAGGCAAAAGAAAUUUACAUAAAAAGUAGGAGCGACACGUGGCGAUAUGAUGUUUAGCUCGAUGGGUAACUAAAUAGAGGGCGCCUCUAGGGGUACCCUGAGAACCCAAAAAGGGAAGAUGAGUUCCCUUUCCUCGGAAAUGACUACCACUUUGGACAUGUUGGAAAUGACAGAGCUAAUUGAUCAAAAAAUUUUCAUCUAUUUCUGGGGAAGAACACUAAAUACUGGUAGAAGGUAUCGUUAGGGUACCCCACCAUUAUCCAUAGUUUGUUUUCUAGUGACUGCCAUGGAUAAAUCGCUCUGGUGAAGGCUUCAAUGCAUUCUUUGGGCAUUUAAGAAGCAAUUAUUUAAUUAUCUCGGGAUCCACCUUAUUUAAGGGUACAUUUCCUUCAUGUUCUUCGAAGACAAAAAUAAAAUCAUAGGGCUUCCUUCCUUGCAACUUCAGAGGUACCCUCGACAGAAGAACAUAGUCGACAAUGCUUUUAAGCGUAUCAUGAUCGAGGAAUGGAGUGCUGAUCUGGGGUUGGUGGUGCCAAGAGUGGAGAAGAUAGUAGAUGAACCGGCUAUCUUGAAGGCGAUUGACGAUAGCGGGGCUCCCAACACAUCUUGGUCUGAAAGCCCAUUGAGAUUAGCUGAGGUACCUCAGAUGAAGUAUCUAUAAGGUACCCCUGAUACUAACCCUUGUGUUUUUGCUACUUUUAGCACUUUUGUUGAUCCCCUCAUCUUAAGAGAUGAAGUUGAAGAUAACCAUCCUGCUGUGUAACCUUGUUCGGCAUUACUGACAAGGUGUAUGGGGUACCUCGGGUACCCUAAUGCUUGGAUAUCCCUUGAGCUAUCUAUUACUUCAUGGCGGAAUAACCCAAUUUCAUCAACCGUAUGACGAUUCCUCCAGAUAUGCUUGUCGCUUAUCUUAAGCUUUCUUAGGGUUCCUCCUGGUGUAUCUGAGGAAUAACUUUCUGGCGUGGGGUACCCUUAAUCAGCGUAUGACGAUUUUCAUAGAAAUGCUUACUGCAAAUCUUCACAAAACUUGUGGCGGUUUCUGUUGAGAGAUGAUGAAAAACCUCAUGAUCCACAAUUCACUCUAAAUCAAAUAUGCAAGACAAAUAGUAAUAAAGGUGACUGCUCGCCUACCCUUAUGCAAAAUAGUGGAAAAUCUCAUGCUCCGCCAUUCGCGUGGAAUCAAAUAGACAACAUAGAUUGAGAUAAAUGUAGCUGCUCACCUACCCUUAUGCGAGAUGGUCGAAAACCUCAUGAUUCAUCAUUCGCAUGGAAUCAAAUAAACAAUAUAGAUUAAGAUAAAGGUGGCUGCUCGCCUACCCUUAUGCGAGAUGGUCGAAACCUCAUGAUCCACCAUUCGCAUGGAAUCAAACAUGACGAAAAAAUAAUGAUAAAGGCGGCUACUAGCGUGCCCUUUUGCUGGGUCUACUGUUGAGUAGAUUAUCAUGAUCGGAGAUUGGUCAGGUACACCUCGGGUACCCUGGAAUAAGGUACCUCGGGUACCCCGGAAUAAGGUGAUCUCUGGAUUCCAUCUUGCUUCAUAAUAAACAAUGCUCAACGACAUAUAUAAAAUUAGUUUAAUGGUGAACAUAUUAUUAUAGCAUUUCAAGCUACUCAUCCAUAUCAAAAAAUCGAGAGGCAAAUAAAAGAGCACACAUUAUCAAAUUUUGUAAAGAAAAUACAUUCACAAAGAGUGGCGAUAUGGAUCAUUAUAUGACACUAUUUUAUUAUCCUAAGGAGAAUAUAGGGGAUCCCGAGAUCACUUGUUAUUGUCAUUAAAGGCUUAGGAAACUGACCAGUUUGGGGUACACUCUGGAUACCCCAUAUAGCCAAGCAUAUAUUUCAAACAUACAAGCAUUAAAGAAAACAAACAAACUAAGUAGAAGGGGGUAAAGUGUUAUCACUUUACUAGUAGUAUGACUUUUCUUUGUUGUUCUUCUGAAAGGUUGGAGCCUAUUUUGACGGUCUUUGUUGGAUCGGUGGCGCAAAUUGAGACUGAAAUUGGGUAUUCAACCAGGGUACCCCGUUUUUCAUCUUUGGGUAUUCGAGGAUCCAAAUGUGCCUCCAAUUCACAUUUGGGCUUAAUCUGGUCCCCUUGGGGUAUCCCCGCAUAACUUCAGAGUAACUAGUUAUGGGGUACCCCACCACCGAGGCCUCGAUGGUGACUCUUGCUGCUUUGAUGGUGGCGAUCUUAGAGGUUGGGGUACUCGUGAGAUACCCUGAGUUUAAACCCUCGUCCCCGCGGGGCAGCCCGUGGAGGGCUCCGAGUUUGGGGUACCCUUAGUAUUGGGGAUUCGGUUUUCUUGGGCUUCUCCUUGUUCUUUGUGACUUCGGCCUUAUCUUCUUGGCGCUUCAAAUGACAUUUUUCAUCCAUCUCCACUUACUGCAACGCCCGAGAACGGGCUUCCACAUAUGAAAGAGGGCGCUUCUUUUGAAAAGAACGUCAUACCUUGCCCAACCGCAAAUUUUUCUCAAAAUGGGUCAAUGUGUAUUGGUUUCCAAAUGCUUCGGUUCGCAGCACCUCUUAGUGGAAACGACUCACAUACUCUGUCAAAGGCUCGGCUUCCCCUUGCUUAAUAAAGGCAAGUUUGGAGACUACCCUAUCUUGAGUAGAAGCGUAGGAAAAUUCUUUAGUAAAUUCGGAUAACAAUUGGUGUUUUCAACAGAUUUUGGGGUAGGAAAAGCCAAACCUAUCUAGAACAAUGAAUUUGUAUUUUUGGGGGAGAUGAGGUACCUCACUGGUUUGUUGUGUGCGGUGCAGUGUAUCUGAAAUUUGGGGGAGGUGAGAAGGGGAGAGGGAGUGGUAACAAUGGUGAAAAGUCAAAACCAAGAGAGAUGUCCUUCAAAAUGAGCUUCACACCUGCAAAACAGUGAAAUAGAGGUUAGAGGUGAAGCCGGGGUACCCCGGCGUUCACACUCUGACUCUCAAAUUAGCAAACUCAAGCUUUUAUGCCAAAGAGAGCUGGCUAGCCCUCUGUAAAUUAGGGUUUAAGGUUAAAGGAAACCUAUUUUUUUGGAGUGUGAGUGUUAAUGGUGAGUGAGAGACCUCUUGGAGAAUGAAACCCAGGCGCCUUUAUAUAUGGAGUACCUCAGCUGCCACGUGGCGUACCCUUUUUAGCUAACGUCAUUUUUCCUUUUUAUGAUUUUUAGGCCGUUAUGUGCAUGUUUGCGGCGUAUCUCAUCUUUUGGAAACGUGGCACGCGCUGGAGAGUAGUCCAGGGUACCUCUGCAGUAGCUGUCGGGUAGGCGGCUGAGGACCACUGUCCUUGGGACAGUGUCCUUCACUUUUGGUAGAGGUGACAGGCGGAUGUCCCCCCUUUUAGCACCACAUUUUUUAUUCCUAAUUCUGACAAAAUCGAAUAAUAUCUUUUAAGAGAUUGAGACGUUUCUCAUUGUGGAUAUUUUCAGAGGAUUCUCUUGCAUCCGAUCAGCCGGGUUCCUCCAGUUACGCGGGGUACCUCUAAUUGUGUGCGGUACCUCUAUUUGCGUAAGGUACCUUGAAUCAUGCCGGGUACCUCAGAUUGUGCGGGGUACCUCUAUUUGCGCAGGGUACCUUGAAUCAUGCUGGGCACCUCAGAUUGUGCAGGGUACCUCUAUUUGCGCAGGGUACCUUAAGUCAUGCGAGGUACCUCUAAUCAUGCGGGGUACCUCUAAUCAGGCUGGGUACCUCUAAUCACGCCGGAUACCUCUAAUCAUGCGGGGUACCUCUAAUCAGGCCGGGUACCUCAGGUUGUGCAGGGUACCUCAGAUUAUGCGGGGUACUUCUAUUUGCGCAGGGUACCUUGAAUUAUGCCAGGUAUCUCAGAUUGUUCGGGGUACCUCAAAUUGUGUGGGGUACCUCUAAUCGUGCGGGAUACCUCUAAUCAUGUCGGGUACCUCGGAUUGCACUGAAGUUAUUGCAUUCGUUGACACGUGGCGUUCUGCUAUCUUUCAUAUUUUUCCCCCAAACAAUUAGUAAAGAGAGCUAAAGAACUAGCUUUAGUUGCGAGUAGGAAGUCAAGAGUCAAGGAGCAGCCAAAGCACUUUUAAUGGUGAUGGGAAAGCUGGAGGGGUAAUGCAAAUAAGUUUACGUUGAUUGGAUAUUCAGAAGAAGUAAUACGCUAUUAAAAGCAACAAGUUUUCCAAAAAGCCAACAAAGACAGACACCAUCACACCACCCCGCACUGGAUGAAAAAAGAUGAAAUCAUGAUAAGUGGCAUUGAGUAAGCCACGUUCUCUCUCUCUCUCUCUCACUCGCACUCGCACACACUGUUACUAAAAUGACCAAAAAAUAAGAUUCCCAUCAAAAUAUUUUCAAGUAUCAUUCUUAAAAGUGACGGCGGCUGAUGAUGAUGAACACAGCCGCGAUUACGAUUGGCGAAGGCGGCGUUCAACCCGUAUCACAGCUGGUUAUCGGUCGCGGCGGAAAAGAUAAGGAAACGACAGUUGAUAAUGAUGAUGAUGAUGUUGAACAACCGCGAAGAUGGGUAAGUGAUGCGACGAUGAUUUGAUUUGAUGAAGAUGAGCUGAAGAGGGAAUAAGAGAGGAAAUGUUUGUGCGGCUGGGAAAGUGUAAUGAGCUGCUAGGGCACCAUUUGGGUUUUUUUGCUUUCCUAUUUAUAUUAAAAAUAAUUUUUAAAAAUUAAUAUAUAUCCGGGUCUGAGUUUCGGAUGUACGGGUUUACCUAGACCCGAACACACGUGGGUUUUUAAAAUGACAUCCGGAUCCAGAUUUUAUUUAAUCCGGUACGAGUUGAACCCGGACUGGAAAAUCCGGGUUUCAUCUAGGUCCGGGCCAGGUGCGGGUUGAAUUGCCAUCCUUAUUCGUCACUUAGCAGCUACCACAAUAUCGAAAUGGAAAAACUAAAAAAGCACCGUAGGAUACGCAUAUCCACACAUAUAUAAUAAAACUAAAUAUUAUUAAUAAUUUAGUAUCUAUAUAUAUAUAUAAAGCUGGGACUUGAGGAGGUGAUGUGGCAUCACCAUUUCUCAUCUUUGUAUAUUCUCUAUUAUCUAAUAAAUAGAGAAAUUUUCUUUUAGAUUUGGUUUUUCAUCUUCUCAUAAUUAAUUUGAUUGUUUUUACACAAUAACAAUUAUGUAAAGAUUUUAAUGAAGCAUAUUCUUUGUAAUGAACAUCCAAGGGGGAGUGUUAUGAAUUUAUUAAAAUAAAUGUAGAUGUUCAUAACAUAUAUCUCUUAGUCUCCCCACUAUCUCCCAUUAGCAACCUUUAACUUCCUUAUAACUCCCACUAUCUCACAAGGAAUUAUGAUCCAUAAUUUUUCAUUAAUUUCAUGGAGUGAUUAUGUAACUAUAAAAGGAGAGCUUAUCUUUUUGUUUUGUACACACACAAUUGGAAUAAAUAAAAUCACUCUAUAAUAUAUUCUCUCAUUUUAUUCUUUAUCUUGUGUUGCUUCUUUAUUUGUAUUGUUGGCUAAUAGCUUUUUUUGUUUUUUAUAAGGCUGCCUCAUCUUAAAAAAAAAUUAAUUCAUAUUUUUUAUCAGUUUCAUCAAGUGUAAAGUAAGAAUAAAAAAAAGGCAAACAUGAAAUUAGAAAAGACUAAAGAGCUAUUUAAAAAAAAAGCCAUUUAAAAAAAGGAAAAUAGCAAGUUAUUUGGCUAGUUAACUGGCGACAGAAGUAAUGGAAAGAAGCAACAACGGCAGCGGCAGGUCGACAGCGAAGAUUCAGCAGCACCGACCACCCACAGACUGGGAUUUGAUUGCAAAGUUGGGACUUAGGAUUUAGGUUUGUGGCUGCUGAAACUGAAAGCGAGAGAGUAGAAAGUAGAGACUGAGAGUGGUGCAAACAUGUGUAAUUGUGUGUGUGUCUAUAUAUAUAUAUAUAUAUAAUGUGAAAUUACAAAAAUGCCAUUAUAUCAGUUCAAUUCGAAUUUUGUAACUUGUGAUCUGAAAACUGAACCAAACCGAACCAUUUGGUUUGGUAUUUAUAUAUUCGGGUUUUUAAUUUAAAAAACUAAAUUGAAACUGAAAAAACUAAACCGAACCGAAUGUUUUUUUUUGUUUCGGUUCAAUUCUGCCCAUCCCUACUUAGUAGGCUGGGCAUCAAUUUCUUUGAAUUGUGCUUUCAUUGCAGUAAUCUCCUUCUUGGUAAUAGGUUUAAUUGCUUGCUGAUGCCUCAUUUCCUCUGGUAAUAACUAGUCUAACAAGCCAUCAUCGUCAAACAUGUACCUAUUAUAAGCAUCAUCCAGAAUUUGCUCUCUAUGCUUUUUGCUUAGUGUCUUCUUUGCACAAGCUAUUAUCUCAGCUUUUGUAUCAAUAUCUUUAUCUUUUGAUUCACUAGAGGAUGAAUCAUCACCGGAAUAGAGUGGUGAAGGCCCCAUAGAUUAGUGUGGUUAAGUUCUAGUGUAGUUUUGGUUUUGAUUUCAGUAUUAGGAAAAUGAAGCGUAUGAAAUUUACUAAGCUAACAUGCUUCACAAAAGUGCUUUAAUACUUGACUAUGAAUACUUGAAGAGGAUAAAUGAGGAUAAAUAAAUUUAAAUAUACAUUAGAUUUUGAGGGUUGGGAUGUCAAAACUUUUGGUGAAAAAGAGUUAGUACAAGCAUUUUAUUGAGAUUGAAAACAUUUUUUAAGAUGAUCAAUGCUAGCUACAAAAUUGGAAUGAAAAAAAAGGCAACAUAGACAAAGGUUUGUUUAUUUGAUUGUAAGAUAUAAAAGACUUGUAUUUAGGUUGUGGAAAGGAUUUGAGCAGCAAUUUAUACAACCUUUUCUCAGCAAAACCUUCCUCUUCAAUGAAUCCUUCACAAAACAAAUAGAUCCAAGAAAUUCGACAAAUAAAUUGUUGUCAACGGUAAGUUUUGAAAUGCUCAAUAGAUUCUUUGUAAUGGAUGGAACAAACAGUACAUCCUUAAGUAAAAUAUGUCUUAUAUUAUCUUUUUUUAAUUCUUUUUAAAAAAAUAAGUGAAUAAUAGUAUGUCAAUCUCAAAUAUCAAUAUGUACAAUUUUUAUUUGUGUAAGAAUUUGCAUCCAAUAAUCAUCAAUACAUAAUUGUCUUUUAAUUGAAUGGUUCUCACCUCCCUUCCAAACUUUGAAAAGGUAAAAUAAGAUCAAUCAUGUCAGUGGCAAUUAAUAUAAAGAUUACUUUUCUUAUUUGUAGUAACGUCCUCUGAUUAUUUAGCUGAUUUUCAAGCUACACAUUUAUUCCAUUUGAUGUUGAUAUUAGUAAAAUUAAUGUAAUAUUUAAAAAGGAAAAAAAUCCGUUGAGCUAAAAGCCGAGUAUAAAAUUGAACCGGACCCAAACCAGAAACGCACGCCAACAACAUGCUUGCGUCAGUCGGCCCAUGCCCAUAAACCCACCAAGCCCGAUCCAAAUAGAAAAAUGAAUUGGACAUCCGAGAUAGCAGAAACAGAUAAGUAACGCUCGCGCUAUCCCCAAUCUCAUAUCUUCAACGGUAUCCAACCAACAUCUCAAAGUGUUCAAUUUGUUUUUAAACCAAAAAAAAAUUCAAAAUUUUCAAGCGGAAUUUGGGAAGAUGGCGACUAAAAGCAAGAUUCUGGUUAUCGGCGGAACUGGAUACAUCAGUAAAUACUUAAGGUGCGUUUGAAAUUGAGGUUGAACAACUAUAACUUUAAAACUACAGCACUAAAAUGUUUGGUAAACACUAACUGUUGUAACUUAAAAGCUAUUUAAUAUAAUUUUUCACUUGUAUAAUAAAAAAUUUAUUAUCUUUAAUAAUUUUGUCAAAAUUAUUAUUUAAAAUAUAUACUGUAAGAGAGAUUGUAACAUUUUCAAUCUUUGGUUUGAUAUUCUGGAAGAAAAUGGUUUGCCGUUUAUGGAGAAAACGGCUAACCGUUUAAUUCCAAAGAGCAUGUUUUCUGUUCUAGAGAAAACGGCUAACCGUUUUGAGAAAAUGGCUAACCGUUUUGAGAAAACGGCUAACCGUUUAAUUCUAGAGAGCAUGUUUUCUGUUCUAGAGAAAACGACUAACCGUUUGGAUAAAACGGCCAACCAUUAAUUACAGAGAGUAACUUAUUUGACAUUCUAGAAUAAAACGGCUCACCGUUAUUGAGAAAACAGCUAACCGUUUAUUUUCAGAGAGCGUGUUUUUGCGUCAAUUGGAAAAACGGUUAGCAAGCUUGGAAAUUUCAAUUGUCAAUCGAUGCAAACUCAAACCAAAAGAGUGUUUUUUUGAAGAAGUACCAUUUUUAAUGGUUGUAUUCUUUCAAAUAAACAUCUUCUUCAUUAAAAAUAGACAAACAAUUAGAUCAUAAUCAGAUUUUGCAGGUUUCAUAUAUGUUAUGGAAAUACAAUCUUAUUUGCUAGAGAUUGUAUUCAGGAUUUGAUAUAUCGUAGGGGUAAUUUGCCAUUAAAACUCUAUAGCAAACCAAGAUUGGUGAGGGCAAAUAAAACCUUAAAGAAAAGUGUGCAAAUACGUCUUAAAUCCUAAGAAAUUUUCUUUGUUCUUUGCCUCCAUAUUCUUAAACUUUGAAAAUUCACCCAUCAAUCUUUAAGGUUUUAUUUUGAUGCAAAUGGAGGCUGAGAAGAGUUUGACGUCAUUUCUUAAUCCUAGUGUCCAUCUCGAUCGUUUUGAUGAAACUAAUUUCACUCGUUGGAAGGGAAAAUUAUUCUUUCUUUUUACUGUUCUUAAAGUGGCAUAUGUUCUUGAUCCGAAAUUGAAACCAUUUCCAGAACCAAGAGAAGAUGAUACCGAAGUUGUUAAGGCUGCAAGGAAACGUCGUAAAGAUGAUGAAUUGAUGUGCCAGGGUCACAUACUCAAUACGCUUUCUGACAUGUUAUAUGAUCUCUACAAUUCUAUGACUUCUCCGGUGGAAAUUUGAAAUGCUCUUGAAUACAAAUACAAAACGGAGAAAGAAAGUACUGACAAAUUCCUUGUCUCUAAAUAUUUUGAAUUUAUUAUGGUAGACACACAAUCCAUUCUUGAUCAAAUACAUGAGUUACAAAUUAUUGUUGCUAAGCUUCGAGAGUUAAAAAUUAAAAUUUCUGAAUCAUUUCAAGUUGGGGCUAUUAUUGCUAAAUUGCCUCAAAGUUGGAAUGAUUAUAGAAAGAAACUCCUUCAUAGUAAAGAGAACAUAACUUUAGAAGAAUUGCAAAAACACUUGGUAAUUGAAGAAGAGACUAGGUCUCGCGAAUCCAAGGAUAAGCAUGAUUCUACUAAAGUUAAUGUUGUUGAAGCUAGUAAAUUCUCAAAGAAUUUUAAAGUCAAGAAUGACAAGAAAUUCAAGAAGUCCAGCACACAAAAGUUUUCUGGAAAUUAUUUCUUUUGUGGUAAGAAAGGCCAUCGCCAAAGUGAUUGCAGAUUCAAGAAGAAAAAAGAAGAAGUGAAUUCCUAUAAAGCUAAUGUUAUUGAAAACAAAUCUGAAGAGAUUUGUGCUAUGGUUUCUGAAAUGCAAAUUGGCAUGAUUACCGAAACCAAUAUGGCUGAAACUAAGUCCUAUGAUUGGUGGCUCGAUUCGGGUACAACAAUUCAUGUUUGUAAUAAUAAGAAAAUUUUCUUAUCAUACAAAGAAGAAACGGAAGGACAAAUGGUUCUCAUGGGGAACAAUAAUGCAGCCAUAAUAGCAGGGAAAGGAGUAGUUGAGAUCAACUUCACUUCUGGAAAUAAAGUCACAUUGUAUAAUGUCUUUUAUGUACCUUCCGUUAGGACUUAUCUUAUUUCUACUAGUUGUAUAUGUAAGCAUGGGCUUAAGAUUGUGCUUGAGGGUAAUACUUGUAUUAUCUCAAAGAAUGGAUUAUUUGUUGGGAAAGGGUAUUCUUGUGAUGGAAUGUACAAACUCAACAUUAAUAAUAAUAAUAUCAAGUUAGCUUAUAUUGUUGAGUCUUGAGAUGUUUGGCUUGCUAAAUUAGCACAUUUGAAUUUUAGAUCUUUGAAAUACAUGUCUGAGCAUGGUUUGAUUAAUUGCAAUGAUGUUAAAGGUCAUAAGUGUGAAAUUUGCAUCCAAGCUAAAUUAACUAAGAAACAUUUUCUUAAAGCCGAACGAAAUACUCAAAUAUUGAAUUUAAUACAUAUCGAUAUUUGUGAGUAUAAUGGCGUUUUAACAAGAGGAGGUAAAAAAUACUUUUAUCACUUUUAUUGAUGAUUGUUCUAGAUACACUUAUGUGUAUUUACUUAGAACAAAAAAUGAAGCUUUUGAUAAAUUUAAAAUUUUCAAAGCUGAAGUUGAGAACCAAAAAGAUAAGAAAAUCAAAGUGGUUCGUAGUGAUAAAGGUGGUGAAUAUUUCUCAAUUGAAUUUAAUAAUUAUUGUGAAGAAUUUGGAAUUAUUCACCAAAGAUCAGCUCCAUUUACUCCUCAACAAAAUAGUUUGGCUGAAAGAAAGAAUAAGAUCUUCACGGAUAUGAUAAAUUCCAUGAUCCUUAAUGCAAAACUACCAAAUAAUUUGUGGGGGGAAGCAUUACUCACUGCAUGUCAUAUUCAUAACAGAAUUACAUCUUUGAAAACACAUGUAUCUCCUUAUGAAAUUUGGAAAGGAAGAAAACCAAACUUGAUGUAUUUAAGGGUUUGGGGUUGUUUAGCUUUUUAUAAAAUACAUGAUCCUAAAUCAUCAAAGUUAAGUGCUAGAUGUAUAAAGAGUGUUUUCGUAGGAUAUGCUGAAAAUUCCAAGGCUUAUAGGUUGUUAGAUUUAGAUUCUAAUGUGAUUGUGAAAUCUAGAGAUGUUGAAUUUAUUGAGAAUAAAUUUCAACAUGAUUCUAAUAUUGAAUUAGAAUCAAUUAUUGAUCAACCAUAUGUUAAUACUCCUAUUACCUCCACUAACAAUAAUAAAAGGAAAGACUCUAUGACAUCUUUCGAACCAAUGAGGAGUCAACGUGAAAAAAAAGAAAAGAGUUUAGCUCCGGAUUUUAUUUCAUCACAAGCACUACUCUUCUUGGUUGAAGGGGAUAGAAAGAAUGUACUUAACAAAGUACCAUUGUUGUUAAAUAUUGAAAAAGAUCCAAAGACAUUUAGCGAGGCUAUGUCUUCUAGAGAUGCUUCUUUUUGGAGAGAGGCGGUAAAUAAUGAAAUGGAUUCGAUUAUAAUGUUGUUUGAUAUAAUGUUGUGGCCACAACCGAUGCCAUCUAUUUCUUUGUACUGCGAUAGUGAAGCUACAUUGUCUAGAGCUUAUAAUAAAGUGUAUAAUGGAAAGUCUAGACAUGUUAGCUUGAGACAUGAAUAUGUGAAACAAUUAAUAGCAGAUGGUGUUAUUAAUAUUGUUUAUGUUAGGACUAAUAAGAACCUAGUGGAUCCUUUAACAAAAGGUCUUACAAGAGACUUAGUUAAGGAUACAUCUUUUGGAAUGGGAUUGAAACCUUUAAAUAAUAAAGUCACCAACGACGGUAACCUAACUAUGUAGUAGUUGCACCGCUACUCCAUAGUUAAAUGGAUAAUAAUAAGUUGUUGUUAUGUGACUGGUUUGGCACCGAGUAAUAAAUAAUCACAUUCGAGAUAUUCGGUGCAAAUAGCUAGGAGGUUGAGGUUGAGUAUUUACUCUUAAUGAAGUUCAAGUCUUAUAGUAGCUAAAGACAUGAUUUGAAACUUCACCUAAGUGAACAUAAGAAAUGGUGCCGUUUCUAACAAAAUCAUGGUUUAAUCUAGUAAAUGUUCAUGAAUCCAAGAUAGAGCACAAGCCCGGAAUAGUGCUAAAUAUUGGAACACAACUUUGAAAAUCUGGGAUAGCUUAUAUGUGAUGUAUCUCCGGUAUUUACUUAAGAGACAAAGUUUAAUGCUUAGCACAUUAUUGUCUUGUAAAUGCUUUGAAAUACACUCACUAAUUAAAGGUUAAAAUCGAAAGAUAUCUUUUUGUAUGUAUAAGUUUAUCAUUAAUAAAUCUGAAAAAUAUUACAAUCUAGUGGGGGAUUGUAAGAGAGAUUGUAACAUUUUCAAUCUUUGGUUUGAUAUUCUGAAAGAAAACGGUUUGUCGUUUAUGGAGAAAACGGCUAACCGUUUAAUUCCAGAGAGCAUGUUUUCUGUUCUAGAGAAAACGGCUAACCGUUUGGAGAAAAUGGCUAACUGUUUAAUUCUAGAGAGCAUGUUUUUUGUUCUAGAGAAAACGACUAACCGUUUAGAUAAAACGGCCAACUGUUAAUUACAGAGAGCAACUUAUUUGACAUUCUGGAAUAAAAAGGCUUACCGUUAUUGAGAAAACGGCUAACCAUUUAUUUCCAGAGAGCGUGUUUUUUGCGUCAACUGGAAAAACGGUUAGCAAACUUGGAAAUUUCAAUUGUCAAUCGAUGCAAACUCAAAACAAAAGAGUGUUUUUUUGAAGAAGUACAAUUUCUAAUGGUUGUAUUCUUUCAAAUAAACAUCUUCUUUAUUAAAGAUAGACAAACAAUUAGAUCAUAAUCAGAUAUAGACAAACAAUUAGAUCAUAAUCAGAUUUUGCAGGUUUCAUAUAUGUUAUGGAAAUACAAUCUUAUUUGCUAGAGAUUGUAUUCAGGAUUUGAUAUAUCUUGGGGGUAAUUUGCCAUUAAAACUCUAUAGCAAACCAAGAUUGGUGAGGGCAAAUAAAACUUUAAAGGAAAGUGUGCAAACACGUCUCAAAUCCUAAUAAAUUUUUUUUGUUCUUUGCCUCCAUAUUCUUAAAAUUCGAAAAUUCACCCAUCAUAUACAUACUACAUAUUAUUAAUUUUUGUUUUAUAACUAUAGUUUUUUUUUUACCGCAGCUGUAGUUUAAAAACUACAGCACCUCAAUUCCAAAAAAGACCUUAGUGGAAUCGAGCGCAAAAGCCGAUCACCCAACAUUCGCGCUUGUGAGAGACUCCACUCUCUCCACUCCUUCCAAAUCCAAAAUCCUCGACCGUUUCAAAAAUCUCGGCGUCAAUUUAGUUCCUGUGCGCCACUCUUUUAGCUUUCCAAUUUUCCCGCCAAUUUGCUUUUAUUGUGAUUAAUUAAUUAAUUAAAGUAAAGAUUUUAUAUUAUAAUUUUGUUUGCAGGGAGAUCUAUACAGCCAUGAGAGCUUGGUGAGUGCAAUAAAGCAAGUGGAUGUGGUGAUAUCAGCGAUAGGUCGCACUCAAUUAGUUGAUCAACUCAACAUUAUCGCAGCAAAUUGCGAUAACUAAUUACUUGGGAUUUUGGGAAAUUUACACCAAUAACCAUAAAAAUUUUGACUUUUUCCAUCUUAACCCCCCAAACAAACUUCUAUCAACAUUAGCCAUAAAAAAGCCUUUGAGACCAAAAUACCCCUCUCUCUCAUCUCUCCCCCAACAAUCUCUCUUUCUCCCAUCUCUCCCAAACCGAAGAACCAAGCUUUGCAAACAAUCUCAGUUGGUUUAUUCUAGUUAUACUCCAUCUUUUUUAAUUCAAAUCUAUAUUUUACAUACCAAGUCUUCACUAAUCUCUCUCCAUGACUUUUUGCAAAACUUAAUCAUGAGCAAAGUAUCCUCCCAGCACAUAUUCUGCACUGCGUCCCCACAAUCCUCUGCUUCUUGAUUGCAGUAAUUUGCUUGGUGGUUAUUGUCCUUCAGUCAAAUGGCCGGAAACAAUUAUCAACCACACGCUCUUUAGUUACAGUGAGACCGUUCGAAACCUCAGCAUAUUCUUCAACUGGGGAUAAUUUUUAUGAAGAUGGGUUGACAGGAGAGGAUGAUCCAGCGUUCUUAGACUCGUUCACCAGCAUUUACACUGCUCCCGUUUGCCACACACAGCGUACGUACAGUGCACAUGCAAUGUUUUGUAGCUUUUUAUAUAAUUAAACGAGAUGUGCAUCCCAUACCAAAAAAAUUCAACAAAAACUAUCAAUAUUAUGUUUAUUUAAGUCUAAUAAACAUUAAACACAAACAUGAAAGACUCGAUAAAAAUUUUCCCUCGGACCGUGCACAUUUGGCGGUUUGCGUUUGACCACUCUUAACAACAGCAAGUAGCAACAGAAAUAAAUUUGAAAAUUCUGAAACUAAGUUUUCUAACGAUCAAUUACGUACUAUGGAUCGGCAUUCACAUCGGAGGCGACAUCACCGGUCAGAUUUUGCAGAUCAACGGCUUACGGAACUCGCACGAGCUCCAAAUAAGAGAUUCAAUAUUAAUACAACGAGGCUUGCCAAGAUUUUGGCAACUGGUUUGAUCAUUCUUCCCAUUCUUGUCAUUCUCUCCUUGAUCACUCGUCAACAUCCGCUGAUCACACCGUUGGAUUAGCCGACGCCAGAAUCUUGGACGCAAGAGUGCGACUAAAUAUCACCACUUGAAGAUAACGUCAGGUAACAGCAGGGCUUCUCCAACAAGUGAGCAGACCAAAACAGCACGAGCUCCACCAAAUGUUGCUUCAAAACAGCACGAGCUCCACCAAGCUUUGGUGCGACAGGCACCUGUCGCACCAACCUUUGGUGCGACAGGCAGUCUGUUGUCAAAUUCACUCACGACUCGCAGUUUCGAAACUCUCGAUCAAGUUCAGAAAAUAAUUCAUACCACUAUGUGAUGCCGAUUAGUAUUGGAUCCGAAUAAAUUAUGAUCAGAUUUUACUUUUAUCGUUGUCUUUUGCCGUCGCCGUUGGUUAAUGAUUAAGCUGCGUUUGGUUUGAGGAUAUGGGAGAAAGAUGGUUGCUUUUGGUCUGUAAUGAAGGGUAAUUUGGGGAGAAAGGCUUGUAUUUGGCUAAUGUUGAUAGAAAAAAGUUGAGAGGAUUAGUUGUGAAAAUAAUAAAAUAUUUAUGGUUAUUUUCGUAAAUUUCCCUGGGAUUUUAAAGAAGCUGGAAAUGUUAAGGUACUGAUUAACCUAAGUAAAUGCGUUAACUAAUUACUUGGGAUUUCAAAUUCAAAUGCGUGAAUUGUUCUCAAAAUUGAUAUAUGUUUAUUAGUCAGAGAUUCUUUCCUUCAGAAUUUGGAAAUGAUGUUGAUCGCGUGCAUGCCGUUGAGCUAGCAAGAACAUCAUUUGCCACCAAGGCUAAAAUCCGCCGAGCUGUUGAGGCUGAAAGAAUUCCAUACACCUACGUAGCUUCCAAUUUCUUCGCUGGUUUGUAUCUUUCCAGUUUCUCACAGCCUGGAGCCGCAGCUCCUCCAAGGGAUAAAGUGGUCAUCGUAGGUGAUGGAAAUGCAAAAGGCAAAGCGCUUCUGGAUACAUUUACUCUGUACACGCAAUGUGUGGUUACUGUUUGGAGAUAAAAAAGGAGAUUAAUUAAUAAAGAAAAUGAAAUUAUUGAGGGAUUUGCUGAAGAGUUGCGUGCACUCCUCAUUUUUCUCCACCACUCAUCUUACUUGCAAAAUGCAAUGACCAAACUAUCCUCGCCAAAGCCUAGACAUUUACUUGUGUUCAAAGGCCAUUUAAGGGAGACAAGUACAAAAAAUUAUAAAGGAUAGUGAGCAAAAGAAGAAAAUGGAAGGAGGGGAGAAUAAAAAAGGGGAGUGGGACGUUAUCUAGGCAGGAUUUUUAUUUUUAUUUUUUUCCUCUCUUCUCCAUGGCAUCUCUUUCUCUCUUUCUCCCACUAAGAAAUUCUUUCUUUUACACUCUAUUUUAUUUUUCUGCAAAUUAUGCAAAAAACUUUUGGUUUUAAGGCAAUAUUUAUUAAGCCACAUGAACUUGAAAAGCAUGAAUAAGGGGAUGAUUUUAACACAUUAAUUCACCAACAUUAAUUGGAAAAGAUCAGUUGCCACUACGAAUCAGAGUAAUUUCUUCGGCAAUAGCCAAAUAUUGAUAUUUGAUCUUGACACUAGAGUUAAAUGAAUGUAACUGGUUUUGUCAUUUGAUCCCCAGCAUUUUUUAACAAGGAAGAUGAUAUUGGAAUCAAUUCUAUCAAAGCGGUGGAUGAUCCAAGAACACUGAACAAAAUACUUUACAUCAGACCCCGUUGCAGUAUCUACUCAUUCAAUGAUCUUGUGUCUCUGUGGGAGGAAAAGAUUGGCAAAGCCCUUGACAGGGUCUAUGUUACAGAGGAACAACUUCUGAAAAACAUUCAAGGUUAGUUAGAACUAUCACUUUAUCAAGUGGAUAGAUGUAACUGACCGAUAAUGGAAAUUUUUUUCCUUCUCCAAAAUGCGAUAGAAUCUAAUCGGUUUCAACAAUCUCAAGAACAUCUAUUCCUGGUUGUGUUGUUUGAAAUCUGUAUGUAUCAGUUUUCUUUCUAGAUCUCAGAUUGCUCGCAAGGAUGUCAAGUUUUGAUGAUGCUUGCCUCUUUUCCUGUGUUUACAGAAGCUUCAUAUCCACUCAAUAUGCUAUUACCUAUUGGGCACUCUGCCUAUGUCCUGGGAGAUCAGACCAACUUCGAAAUUGAACCUUCAUUUGGAGUAGAGGCAACAGAGCUUUAUCCAGAUGCCAACUACACUACUGUGGAUGAGUACCUCAACCAGUUCAUAUAAACCUUCUGAGAUGAGCAGCAGGAUCCUAACCAAAAAUUGGGUGGUUUCCAUCCCUGAUUCUAUAGUAUAAAGAUAGCGGCUUUCCCUGCUUUUGCCAGUUCAAUGAAGUUUGUUAGAUGAUGUUAUUUAUACUAUACUAGCAAAGAUCAAGUUGCCUUUCUUGUCAAGAAGCCAAGCUCUGGCAUUGGUUUAUGCUAGUUUUUCACACUAAUAUUGGUAUUCACUAAUUUUUUUUUUUUUCAUUUCACACCUCCAUCAUCAGUUGAGAUACCCUCUUGUAUGGUACUAACUUUGAUUUUCCUUAUGCUUCACUUGCUGUCUCUGCAGAUUCGUAAAAGAUCAUUUAUGGAUAAGAUCAUAACAUCAAUAUGAUACAGUAUGCAUUGAGAACUCCCACAUGAGUCUUGUUCUAGUUCUGGUUAGACAUGAAACAUGUUACAGUUCCAUAACUUGAGACAUUGUCAUUCAACAAUUAGCAUCGCAUUAAAACAGUGGCCAAUCCCUAACAGCUACCUUUUGACUCUUCACAUUUUUUUUCUGCAUUUUAUGCGUAUUAAUUAUCCAGACCUAGACUUACUCUUCUCAGCUUGGCCCGUUGGACAGUGAGUGAUGAAACAGAAAAUUUUUCAUGUUUAUUACUUUUCUUGCAUUCAAAAUGAUAAAACCGAAGAGGUUGUUGCAUGCACGUCAUUUGUUAGUAGGGGUAUCAAUUUAUGAACGUAUGAAGUAUCUCUUCUGCACUGGCAUCCUCCUUAACUGUCAGUAGGAUCACAAUAAGUCGACCAACCAUCUACCGUAUGGAUUAUCUAUAAAUUGAAAUUGGUGUGUAUUAUGGAUCUGUCACUCUGCUGCUUCUGUUUUCUUUUCUAUUUUUACCAAGAAAGAAACAUUGUUAAAACUGAAUGGUUGUUAUCUCGUCUUGUUGUAAUGUUGUGUAUGCUUUCUAGAAAAUAAUGAAGUGCCAAAUAUGAAAAUACUAGUGGCUACCUUACCAUCCUUAAUAAGUUGUCUGAUUGUCACCGUCAACAAUCACUCUCAGCAACUCAUAAUCCAUUUAAGCAUAUUAUAAAAUAAUCAAUUUUGUAUUUGCACCAACUUUUAGUUUUAAAUGACAAUUUCGUUGAUCCCCACACUUCUGUACUAAUCAAAUCCACUGAAACUGGACCUUUUUUUUUUUUUUUUUAUAAUUACAUCGAUUGCAUUGGCUAUUGCAGGGAAAAGACUGCCUCUACAGGGAACUAAACUUUCAGAAUUGUUCUUAUGAGGGUUUGAAUAUGCUCUCCUACUAGGUCAAUGGCCUAUUGGUUCGAGACCAUUCACAAAGAAAGAAAUGAGUUUUGCUUGUAUAAAUGAAAGAAAUCCAAAUGAUAACUAAUGUAUAGUGGUACAUGAGAAAAAUAAUUUCAGCCCUUGUGUAAAGUCAAAAAGAGAAAAUAUUAAAAGAAAGGAUAAUGUCAUUGAGUUGGUGAAGUGAAAGAAAAUGAAAAACAUGGGAUUUGGUCAAACUUAGUGUCCCAAUCAGCAGAAAAAGGUUUUAGAAACUCACCUCAAGUUAAGCCAACUAUUAGGAGCUUUAUUUAACCAUAGUUGCCUCAACAAUGACUGAUUCUCUUCCCCCCACCCACAUUGUAGCUUUCUAAUGUAUAAUAAUAACUAAUAUAAACUAGACUUGAUAAUGGGUGCUGACGAAACGGGGGCUACCUCUACGCUUGCAAAUGUAAAUGAAAUUGAGUUCAUGACGCACAAUGAAGUGAGCAAAAUGAGUUGAGAUCUGAGAAUAUAUUAAAGAAAAUAUGAACCGAUGAAUUUUGGUUAAAAAAAAAAAUGCUGGUUCUUCAAGACCUGCGUGUAUUGCGUAAAUUUUGUUAGGAAAAGGAAAGCAUUUUGUCUAAAACGCACUAAAUCAGAUUCAUUUGCUUGAUAUCUAAUAAGGGUGAAUUAACCACUCGGCCAUAGCAAUUAGGGGUGGGCAAAAUACCCGACCCGACCCGAUCCGACCCGAUCCGAUUCGAAAAAAAUCGGGUUCGGAUCGGAUCGGGUUGUAAAGAAAACCCGAUCGGGUGCAUUUGUGUCAACCCGAUCGGAUCAUGAUCGGAUCGGAUCGGGUUGACCCGAUCGGGUUGACACAAAAUAAAAAAAAAAAUUAAACCUCAAAUACACACCCCACACACACACCGGAACAUAUAUACGCCACACACACUAGAACACACACGCUGGAACACAUACACACCACACACACUGGAACACAUUACACAUACACACCACCCACGCACUGGAACACACACAUUGGAACACACACACUGGAACACAUACACACCACCCACGCCCUGGAACACACACACCACGCCCCCCACGCACUGGAACACACACACUGGAACACGAAGUGAACACCACACACACUGACACACCCACAGCCCCCUGCCGACCAGCAACAUAAUCGCCCACACCCACCCACAAGCCACAGCCUCCCUCUCUCGCAUCCCACUAUCGACGGAAACAAGCGACAGUUAUACAGCCCACUCCAACCGAGGCUACUCCGUGAGAAUGGUGACCCGAUCUACUGAUCUACUGCUACCAAGUACCGGAUCUGCUGCGCCACCUCCACGCCUCCAAUCCUCCGCCAUCACCCGAUCCGAUUCAAGCUCCAUUUGUCUGUUGAGUUUUGAAAGCUUUGGGUUGUUGCUGUAAAUGUGUAGAUCGUGUGUGUGUAAAUGGGUAGAUUGUGUGUAUUUUUUAUAUCCGACCCGAUCCGAUCCGAAUUAUAUUCGGAUCGGGUCGGAUCGGGUUAUAGAUUCGGGUUGAAUUCGGAUGAGUUCUCAUCUAACCCGACCAACCCGAAACCCGAUCGGGUUGAUCCGAACCCAAUUUUACCCACCCCUAAUAACAAUUCAAAUCCCCACAAAAGUAUUAUGGGGGCUCAUUUUCUUCUUUAAUUAUAACAAAUAAUUGAGCGGAGGAUAAAAAUCUAGGUCAUGUAUAAUAAUAACUAAUAUAAACUAGACUUAAUCAUAAUAUGUUUGUAAAUAUCAGUUGUAGUCUCAUACAAUAUAGGUUAUAGAUUAUAAUAUUAACAUAAAAAAAAAAGAUAUCUAACUGUCAAUCAAUAAAAUGACAAAAACUUAGGGUAACAUACCACAAAGUCAAUAUAGCUGGACGGAUGAAUAUAAUAUGUAAACAAAUUUAAAUGGGAUAAUACCAUACGGUACAUACAUAACAUUUUAAAACUGAAUUUAAAAAAAAAAUUAAAACUGAAUUGGAAUUCGUAUGUGUAUCCAGCUACCUUGCAACAGUUGUAAGGUACCCUAACUUUGCAACAAUUUCAUCCUUCGUGCAUUCAGUCACAAAGUCCAAAUUUGGCCCGUUUAAGAAUCGAACUGAAAAACUAAAAAAAAUGAAUCCGGCGAUAUUUGCGAACCGGAAACGAGCCAGCGUUAUGCUUAUGUCAUUUCAGAGAUAUCAACAGUCGUGCUUUCAGUCCUUAAACCUAGAAACAUUAUGGCUUUUCUCCUUAAACCUCAAGGGCAUUUUCAUCCUUUCACUCAAGCGUGAAACUGCAUGUAAGCACUGCUUCGCUUACACGCUCCAUGCACAUUUAAAGGCACCACUGUCGGAUAAAAAAUAUCUAUCCAUUUGAUCAUUUCAAAACAAAACGAAAAAAAAAAAAAAAUCUCAGGAAUUGAACUGAACGAGUCUCAGAAAUGGCAUCGAAAAGUAAGAUUCUAUUCAUCGGCGGGACAGGGUAUAUCGGUAAAUUCACUGUCGAAGCGAGCGUAAAAGCCGGCCACCCGACGUUCGUGCUCGUGAGAGAAUCCACAAUCUCUGGUCCUUCCAAAUCUCAACUCCUCGAUCACUUCAAAAACCUCGGCGUCAAUCUCGUCAUAGUGCGUUUUCAUUUUUCUCUUUUCUUAAUUUUUUAUUCCGAUCAUUUUUACACGUAGAAGUGUAGCAUCUACUACUUAAUAUACAUAAUGAUAUUAUUAUUUUUUAAUUUUUUUUGGUUGCUGUUAUUAUUAUGCAGGGAGAUGUGUUGAAUCACGAGAGUUUGGUGAAGGCGAUUAAACAAGUGGACGUGGUGAUAUCAACGGUCGGUCACACUUUAUUAGCUGAUCAGGUCAAGAUUAUUGCUGCCAUUAAAGAAGCCGGUAACGUUAAGGUAUAGCAUAAUUAAUAUUGUCAAUAAAAUUAAAAUAAUUAAUUAUAAACCAAUGGCAUGGACUCAAUUAAUUAAUUGAUGUUGAAUGUGAUUAUUAUUAUCCAGAGAUUCUUCCCUUCUGAAUUUGGAAAUGACAUUGAUCGAGUCCACGCCGUUGAGCCAGCAAAGUCUUUAUUUGCCAUAAAGGCGAAAAUCCGCCGAGCCGUUGAGGCUGAAGGCAUUCCGUAUACUUACGUAGCAUCGAAUCUCUUUGCUGGCUACUUCCUUCCCAAUUUGUCGCAGCCUGGGGCCACUGCCCCACCUAGGUAUAAAGUUGUCAUCUUAGGCGAUGGAAAUCCAAAAGGUAUGAAUUUAGGUCAUUGCUUAUAGCAAGACUGUUGAAAUAACCAUGAUUAAGGCUCCGUUUGUUACUACGGUGUUAAUUUUAUGGCCUAAAACUGCUGUACAAUGGAAGGUGUAGCAACCUAACUUACGCUCUGUUCGGUGUGGUUGUUGCAUAGCUGUAACUUAAAGUUAACUGCAAAAGUGUUUGAUGAAUAUUUGCAGACUUAACUUUAAACCGAGAUGAUUUUAUCCAACAUUUGUCUGAUUAAAACUUAUGAUCCCUAAGAAGUUUGUCAAAAUAUAUAUAUAUAUAUAUAUAUAUAUAUAUAUAUUAAAUGGAGCACCUCAAUACUAAAUGAAUCCAUGUAUUCAACUUUGGAUAGACUUUUAAAUAAUGACCAAACACUUUAGCUGUUAAAUUGCCACAUCACAGCUGCAACACAAUAAUUCCAAACGUCUUCAUUGCAAAAUAGUUGAAUGAAUCUAAAUCCACUGGCUUCGUCAUUUGAUUUUCAGCGAUCUAUAACGAGGAAAAUGAUAUUGGAACCUACACCAUCAAAGCGGUUGAUGAUCCGAGAACCUUGAACAAAAUCCUUUACAUUAAACCCCCUGGUAAUAUUUACUCAUUCAAUGAUCUUGUGUCCUUGUGGGAGAGAAAGAUUGGCAAAACCCUCGAUAGGGUGUACGUUCCAGAGGAGCAAGUCCUAAAGAAUAUUCAGGGUUAGCUAUAAUUCUUACUGUUUGAGGGAAAAGUAGGAAAGAUAAUAGAGCGCCACGUGUCAGCCAAUGGAAUGAUAUCAGCACAAUCGGAGGUACCCUGCAUAAUCCGAGGUGCCCGGCAUGACUUGAGGUACCCCGUAUAAAUAGAGGUACCCUGCACAAUUAGAGGUAUCCCACACAAAUAGAGGUACCCCAUAUAAUAUGAGGUACCCCAUACAAAUAGAGGUACCCCAUACAGAUAGGGGUACCCCGCGUAAUUGGGGAUACCCCAUGUAAUUCGAGGUAUCCGGAAAAGCGAAUGCAAGAGAAUCCACCAAAAAUACCCGCCAUGAGAAACGUCUCCGCCUCCUAAAAGAUAUCAUUUGAUUUUGUCAGAAUUAGGAAUCAAAAGCGACGUGCUAAAAGGAGGGACAGCCGCCUGCUACCUCUGCCAAAAGUGAAGGACACUGUCCCAAGGACAGUGGUCCCUAGCCGCCUACCCGACAGCUACUGCAGAGGUACCCUGGACCACUCUCCAGCGCGCGCCACGUUUCCAAAAGAUGAGAUACGCCGCGAACAUUCAAAUAACGGCCCAAAAACAAUUAUAAAGAGGUAAAAGGACGUUAGCCAAAAAGGGUAUGCCACGUGGCAGCUGAGGUACUCCAUAUAUAAAGGUGCCUAGGUUUCAUUCUAGGGCAUGCUCUCAUUCGCCCAAAAACACUCACACUCCAAAAAAGAGGUUUUCUUCAACCUUAAACCCUAAUUUACAGAGGGCUAGCUAGCUCUCUUUGCCAUAAAAGCUUGAGUUUGCUAACUUGAGCGUCGGAGUGUGAACGCCGGGGUACCCCGGCUUUACCUCUAACCUCUAUUUCACUGUUUUGCAGGCGUGGAGCUCAUUUGGAAGGACACCUCUCUUGUUUAUGACCUUUCACCAUUGUUACCACUCUCUCUCCCCUUCUCACCUCCCCAGAAUUUCAGAUACACCGCACCGCACCGCACACAACAAACCAGUGAGGUACCCCAUCUCCCCUCAAAAUAACAAAUUUAUUGUUCUAGAUUGGUUUGGUUUUUCUUACCCCAAAAUCAGUUGAAAACAAUUGGCGCCGUCUGUGGGGAAGUCGCACAAAAAGCCUCCACCGAGGUUACCAAACUAGUUGUUGUGUGUACUCCAAUACAUGGCACCCGACGUACCUCCCGAAGGUUUAAUGGGGGAUCCUACAAGGAUGAGAGAUGACAGCAGCAGUGAAGAUAGUGAUCCCGCAAGAAGGGUAGCCCGCAUCAGCAAGGGCAAAGGUAUCAAGCAAUCGACAGGUGUUCGCCAAGAAGAGGAACCUAUUUCGCACAAGCGUUUUGAGGAUCUUGCCCACGCAAUACUUAGGGCGGUCGGAUCUCGAGCACCCGAAAGUUCGCUUCCACCAGUGAUGCUAGAAGCUCCGCCACCUCAAACGGACGACCAAGCUAUGGUCAGAAGAGGGGUACCCGAGGCCAGCAAGCCAAAGCCUAGGCCAUCGGGUACCCAUUCUAAGUUUCAAACCGUGGGCUCUCGCGACGAGCGUUCCACCGCCUCUUGCAAUUCCCGCAGCAGCCAGGGUACGAGGCGUGCAAAGCGUACCCACGAGGAUCUCCGUGAGAAGCUAAAUGCCAAAAGGGCUUCUCAAAUGGCGGCGACAUCAUCGGGUACACCGAGGGUACCCCUCGAACUUGUGGAAAAGAUGGAGAACCUAGAAGCCCAAGUGAAGCUCCUCUCCGAGAAGCAAAACAUCACAGCUGCACCAACACCAAUGACCUACCAGUCACCAUUCACUAUGGAGAUUAGGACGGCAGCUCUCCCCGAGGCGUUCGCCAUGCCUCAGAUACCCCAAUACUCGGGUACCACUGAUCCCUCGGAGCAUGCUGAGUUAUACCGCGACCAAAUGCUUAUCAAGGGUGUAGAUGAGAGCGCCAUGUGUAGGAUGUUUACCCACACACUCACGGGCCCCGCGAAGUCAUGGUUUCGCUCUUUGAAAGCGGGUAGCAUAUCUUCCCUACACCAAUUGCUAUCCGAAUUUACUAAAGAGUUUUCCUAUGCAUCCACUCAAGAUAGGGUAGCCUCCAAACUUGCCUUUAUCAAGCAAGGGGAAGCCGAGCCUUUGGCGGAGUAUGUGAGUCGUUUCCACCAAGAGGUGCUGCGAACCGGAGCAUUUGGAAACCAAUACACAUUGACCCAUUUUGAGAAAAAUUUGAGGUUGGGCAAGUUAUGGCGUUCUUUUCAAAAGAAGCGCCCACUUUCAUAUGGGGAAGCCCGUUCUCGGGCGUUGCAGCAAGUGGAGAUGGACGAAAAAUGCCAAUUGAAGCGCCAAGAAGAUAAGGUCGAUGUUACAAAGAAUAAGGAGAAGCCCAAGAGAGUGGAGGCCCCAAUACCUAGGGUACCCCGAGCACGGAGCCCUCCACGGGUUGCCCUGCGGGGACGAGGGUAUAACCCUCAGGGUACCUCAAGGGUACCCCAACCUCCAAGAUCGCCACCACCGGAUCAGCGAGAGCCACCACCAAGGCCUCGGUACGAGUCUUACCACCCACUGAAUCGAUCUCCAGAGCAGAUAUUCUAUCAUAUUCGGGAUAGCGGCCUCCUCCGUCCUCCUAAGCCAAUGAAGAAGUACCCCAACAUGAAGCGUAGCCUGAAGUAUUGCGAGUUCCAUGAGGACUUUGGUCACAGCACAGCCGAGUGCUUCACCUUGCGAGAGGAAAUUGAAUCUUUGAUUCUCAGCGGGUACCUCAAAGAAUUUGUUACUGGCAUGAGAGAAGCUCGGAAAUCUGCGGAGCAGGAUAAGGGCAAGCGGGUAGCUGAUGGUAGCCUUGAACGAGAGGUACCCCCUGGACACAAGAAAGGCGUGUAUGUCCGGAUGAUCAUGGGCGGACCGACUUUAGCGGGCCAAUCUAGGAGGGCUAUCAAAGGCUAUGGUAGAUCGUUGUCGAUAACCACCAAUAUGGGCAGAGAAGUCAACCUUAAUGAAUGGGGUACACCGAAGGUACCCCACCAUCCCCCGCCUAUCUUUUUUACAGAAAAAGAUGCGGAGGGCAUCUCGUACCCCCACGACGAUGCCUUCGUAAUUACCCACUGGUAAGGUAGCAAGAACUCUCGUAGAUACCGGUAGCUCCGUUGACAUCAUUUUCAAAAGCGCAUUGGAUCAACUAUUGAUUGAGUCGCCAAAGAUCACCCCAUAUGCUACGCCUCUUAUUGGGUUCGCCGGAGAUAUGGUUAUACCAAAAGGCAUCAUUACGCUGCCCGUUACACUUGGUAAGGUACCUCACCGUGUUGUUCAUAUGAUUGAUUUUCUUAUUGUAGAUCACCCGGGUGCCUACAAUAUUAUAUUGGGUAGGCCGUUCUUAGUAGCAACUAAAGCGGUGGUAUCCAUGCACUACCUCGCCAUGAAAGUCCCAGCCGCCCAAGAAGUUAUCACCAUUAAAGGGGACCAGCAAUCGGCUCGUGGAUGUUAUUCUGUGGCCUUCAAAGUCACUUACCAAAUAGCUUCUGAUCCGCCAAUGAAGGGGUACCCCAGUGGCAGCCAGCCCACACCUUCCCCUUCAAAGCGAGCACUUGCUAGACAGCGGAGAGCAGUACUCAAAAAAUCUCCUCAGGUAGCCCACCCACGAAAACAGUUGGAGUCUUCACCAAUGGGGGUAGAAGCAGUUACGGGGGAUAGCUCGAGGGUACCCCACGGGGACCAGGAGGAGCCCAGAUGUGAAGUUGAGGCACCUUUGGAUCCCCGAAUAUUGAAAGAUGAAAAGCGGGGUACCCCAGUUGAAGACCUUAUUUCAGUCUCGAUUUGUGCCACCGACCCAACAAAGACAGUGAAAGUAGGCUCCAACCUCUCGGAAGAACAAAGAGAGAAGCUCAUCACAUUUCUACGCGAGCACCACGAUGUAUUCGCUUGGUCCCACUCGGAUAUGCCGGGUAUCCCACCUUCCCUCUCUUGUCACAAACUCAAUGUCAGCCCGCAUAAUAAACCGGUCAAACAGAAGCAUCGCGCCUUCAACCAAGAGAGGUAUGAUGCAAUUGAACAAGAGGUAGACCGCCUAUUAGCCGCAAGGUUUAUCCGGGAAGCAGUGUACCCUGAUUGGGUAUCCAACGUUGUUCUAGUCAAGAAAUCAAACGGAAAGUGGCGCAUGUGUGUGGACUUCACUGAUUUGACCAAGUCCUGCCCCAAGGAUAGCUUCCCGCUUCCUCGGGUGGACCAGCUGGUUGAUGCAACAGCGGGGCAUGAGAUGCUUAGUUUUAUGGACGCCUUCUCCGGGUACAACCAAAUUCCGAUGUAUGAACCCGAUCAAGAGAAAACGGCUUUCAUCACCAACCGUGGAUUAUACUGUUAUAAGGUUAUGCCAUUCGGUUUGAAGAAUGCCGGGGCUACCUAUCAACGGCUGGUGAACAAAAUUUUCAAGGAACAAAUCGGGCGCACCAUGGAGGUGUACAUAGACGAUAUGAUCACCAAAUCGGUGCAUGCGGGGGAACACUUGGGGCACCUCAGAGAUACCUUUACCGUUUUGAGAAAACACCAUAUGCGGCUUAACCCUGAAAAGUGUGCAUUCGGGGUCACCUCGAGAAAAUUUCUUGGGUUCAUGGUACAACAGCGGGGGAUUGAAGCCAACCCCGAUAAAAUUCGCGCGGUUCUUGACAUGAAAUCGCCAAGCACCAUCAAGGAGGUUCAAAGCUUGGCGGGCCGGGUAGCUGCUCUGAGCCGCUUCAUCUCCAAGGCUACUGACCGGUGUAAGCCUUUUUUCAAAGCUUUGAAGACUGGCAAGAAGCUCCAAUGGACACCCGAUUGCGAAGAGGCUUUCCAAGAACUGAAGGGGUACCUCGUGAAUGCUCCACUACUUGCCAAACCUGAGCCGGGAGAGGUGCUUUUGUUGUAUCUCGCCGUAUCUGAGCAUGCCACCAGCUCUGUGUUACUCCGAGAGGAUGAUAAUGGGGUACAACGACCUAUUUACUACACUAGUAAGGCUAUGGUUGAUGCCGAAAAGAGGUACCCCACAUCUGAGAAGAUCAUUUUGGCAUUGGUGGUCUCCGCACGGAAGCUCAGACCAUAUUUUCAGGCUCACACCAUUGCGGUCGUCACCAACCUUCCCCUUCGGCAAAUCCUCCAGAAGUUAGACAUGUCCGGAAGGCUUCUCCGAUGGUCCCUUGAAUUAAGCGAGUUCGACAUAAUUUUCAAGCCUCGUUUGGAGAUUAAAGCACAGGCCAUCGCUGAUUUUAUUGCGGAAUUCGCCAAUGACUCAAGUGGUGAAGGUGACUUGAGAUACCUGUUAGAUACCCCACCCACCGAUGAACGGGGGCAGGUCUGGGAAAUAUAUGUAGACGGUUCCUCUAACUCACACGGAAGUGGUGCAGGAGUUAUUAUAAUCGACCCGAAUAAGGUGAAAAUAUGCUACGCCUUGCAAUUUGGAUUCAAGGCUUCAAACAACGAAGCCGAAUACGAGGCCAUCAUAGCGGGGCUGAGGAUGUCGAAGGCUUUGGGAGCGAAAAGGGUACACGUCAAGAGCGACUCCCAGUUGGUGGUAAGCCAAAUUACCACACAAUAUCAAGCGAAAGAGGAAAACAUGAAAGGGUACCUCGGGAAAACCAGAGAGUUGAUGUCCCAAUUUUGUGAGGUUAAGGUGGAACGGGUACCCCGACUGGAGAACAGCGAAGCCGACACCCUAGCGAAAAUGGCAUCCCUUGGGAUAGCCCAAUCAUCUGGCCCCAUCACAACAGAACACAUACCCGCACCCAGUGUUGGUCUCCCAGAGCCAUUGGAAGUAGGAUGGCUGUCCAACGAGGGGCUUUGGAUGGAGCCUAUCAUAAGGUACCUCAAGGACGGAGACCUCCCCUCCGAUAAAAGUGAAGCAAGAAGAUUAAAGUAUAAAGCUGCCCGGUAUUGCUUGAUCCAGGGUACCCUAUACAGAAGAGGCUUCACUCUUCCUUAUCUUAAAUGCUUGGGAAGCGACGAGGCCGAGUAUGUCAUGAGGGAGAUACAUGAGGGGAUUUGUGGCAAUCAUUAUGGAGCACAAUCACUGGCGCAAAAAGCUCUCCGUCAGGGGUACUACUGGCCAACCAUGCGGGAAGAUGCCAAGAAUAUGGUACGAAGCUGUGACAAAUGCCAAAGGUUCGCCAGGGUACCCCACCUACCCCCAGAGAAGCUAACAGUUAUAUCUUCCCCUUGGCCCUUUGCUAUGUGGGGAGUGGACCUCAUUGGCCCGUUACCUACCGGGAGGGGACAAGCAAAACAUGCAAUCGUGGCGGUAGAUUAUUUUACAAAAUGGGCGGAAGCGGAGCCACUAACAAGCAUCACAGAAAGGAAAACCACCGAAUUCAUUUGGAAGAACCUCAUUUGCAGAUUUGGAAUCCCCUAUGCAAUUGUCAGUGAUAACGGCAAGCAAUUCGAUAAUGACAAAUUUCGAAGCUUUUGUUCGGAGUUGGGGAUCGCCAACCGAUUUGCUACACCUGCCCAUCCCCAAUCUAAUGGGCAAGUCGAAGCCGUUAACAAGAUUAUCAAAGGUAUCCUGAAGAAGAAGCUAGAAGAAAGAAAGGGAGCAUGGGUAGACGAGCUACCUGGGGUACUGUGGGCGUACCGAACUACUCAAAACACCUCCACCAGGGAGACCCCGUUUUCCCUCACAUUCAGUGUUGACGCAGUGAUUCCAGCAGAAAUUGGGGUACCCUCUCACAGGGUUGAAUACUUUGAUGAGGCCGAGAACACCUCCUUGGUUGCUUCAAACCUUGAUUUGGUGGCUGAAAAAAGGGCAAGAGCAGAAUUGAGGACCACCAUAUAUCAGCAUCGCAUUUCGGGUCUAUAUGAAAAAAGGGUACGCCCUCGAUCCUUCAAGAAAGGAGACUUGGUCUUGAGAAGGGUAACUCAGAACACUAGGGUACCCUGCGAAGGCGCUUUUGGGACGAAUUGGGAAGGACCCUACCGCAUCGACAAACCCGUUGGGACAGGUGCAUACAGGCUACUCCACAUGGAUGGCACAAUAGUGAGGCACCCCUGGAAUGCUGCAAUGCUACGGAAAUAUUACUAAAGGACAGUGUCUUAACCUUUAGUCUUUUGCUUUAUUUAAUGCUUUCUUUAAUGUUUUUGGGUGGUAGGCCAAAUGGGGUACCCCAAAUGCCCUAUGUUGGUCAGUUGCAACUUUAGAAGUUUCUUUAAUUUUCAAAUGAAAAGAGUAGGAGGUCUUGCGGUCUCCCAUUCUCCUUAGGAUAACAAAGCUAAGUCAUGUACUGAUCAACGCUUUCGUUAUCUAUAAAUGCAUUUUCUUUCUUUGCAAGUAUGAUAUCUCCUUUAUUUUUCGCCAUUUCGAUCUUAGAAUACGGAUUAUAUUCACUUAUCGCCAUUAAUAUACCCUUGCAUCUGGUUAUAUGCAAUUCUCGCCAUACGCUUGUCAAUUAUGACUAACCAAACACAGGACCAGUCAGGGUACCUGAUAUGCCAAGAUCGUGACGAUCUAUGUAAAGCCAAGAGGGGCAACAGAGGGAACAGCCCAGGGAUAGCCUUUCUGCGGAAGCAGGACCGAGCUACAUAGACAAAGAGAGGGAGGGUCAAAGAGGACCCGAGGGUGAAGAAAAACCGUCAUACCCUAGCGGCACGAGGUUCGGCUUAGGUAUGAGAACACCCACACCUCCGUCCUCGUACUUGAGCAAAGUAGGGGGUAAGCUAUUCAAAAAUUCGGAGAGAACUUCGAAAGAAUAAGAAAUUGAUUGGUUGGACCAAUUACGCACUUUCAAUUUUUGAUCGAGAUGUCGCGAUGAUGUUUUGAUGACCUAUUUGUGGGAAAUCUGCCAAGGUUGCCGAGAAGGGCAUGCACCAAACUCGCCGAUCUGUGUAAACCAGCAGGCGCCUGAUGCUGAAUCGUUGUUAAGGUACCAGGGGUACCCCAUUUCAAAAAAAUGAGAGGUACCCUAAGCAUUUACAAGAUAACAGUUUAGCCAAGCAUUCAUUUGCAAAAUAACAAGAAUGCAAAGUAUAAAAGGGCUCGGUGGCAUAGUAUCAUAACAAAAGUGAAGUCUCAAUCAUACAAAAUAUCCCAGGAAACCAAAAGGAAAGAAACAAGGUCCAAACAACAAAAUAUGGAUAGAUCCGAAAAACAAGGGCACAAUGAAAAGGCUACACCGAGGGGGGAACGCCAUCCCCAACAUCCGUCUCUAGAGGGCGAUCUGCAGAGGACUCCGAGGUACCCGGAAUAUGAGCAGCCGAAGUAGGGGCAUCCGAGGCAGGCAACGGCUGGAGCGCACGGGGUACCCUAGGCGACCCGGAAGGGGUACCCGACCGUGCCUGAGAAGACUUCUUCCUUUCUGCAAUCGUCUUCAGAAUCGUAGCCUUGUUGACAAAUUUCUGCACGCGGGGUACCUCCAACUCCGGAUCCACACUCUACACCUCCGUCAUGAUGAGUGAGAAUGCAUCCUCCGCCAUCGUCUUUUGUCGAGAUAGCAGAUCUCCGUUGGUGGCCCUCAACUCCUCACAAUCCUUCUCCACCCUAGCUUUCUCUCCCGACAGGCCAGCAAUGCGUUCUUGCAGAGUUUUAACUUCUCGAGCGAGCUGAUCCUCACGAGAUUGAUGGCUUUGAAGCUCACUCCUUAACUUGUUGACCUCUGACUGUGCGACAACAAGGGAGUCGAGAUCCGGAAGGUAGUGGCUAAGGAGAAAGGAUGCCUGCGGGUCAUGAAAGACAUGUUAAAUAUAUGUGUAUGACAAAAAAGAUUAAAUAAGUAAAAAGAAAAUGAUGAAGAGUACACCCGGGGUACCCCGGGAAAGCCUACCUCUUGGGUAGCCCUAAGUGCUUGACCGUAACGCUGGCUCAAGCUCAUCUUGUCAGCCUCUUCAGCAACCUCGGAGGUAACAUUUUCAGCAGAGUAGUAAAAGUGGCGAGCCAAGUGCGAAACCUCCUUGUUAGAAGCCGGGUCUAAGUCACCCUCACGUAACUCAUCAGGGAAAGUAGAAACCAGCCCGAAUUUUCUCUUCUUCGAGCGAGGGGUACCUUUCGACCCGCUGUGGGAGGUGCCCUGAGAUUUCCCCUUUGGACCGGGAGCUCGAGGAGGUCGGGAGCCUUUCGGGGGUACCGCCGAAUCCUGAGAUCCGGAAGCACCGCCCACUACCGCUUGGAAGAAGGCGUCAAAAGCGUCACCCGUCGAUUCCAUGACUGCACCCAAUGCACAAAAGUUAUGUUAGCUGGACAAGUACUAAGUACUGCAAAAGUAAAAAAUGGGAAAAGGAAAGCGGGGAAGCGAAACGAAGAAUGCAAUGAUAAUGGGGUACCCCAGUCCCAUAAGUAAUAAUAGGAUACCCCCCGACACCCAAAUCAUACAUGAGUCACCCCCAGGAGCAGGUGUAGGACUUCGGUCAAUCAGCCCCGCUCUCCAUAAUCGGCUCUCCUCCAGCACAUCACUACCCCUAUGUGCACCUCGAAGCCUGUCCACAAACUUCUUCACCUCUCUCCCCACCUCCUGAACUGGGCAUGAUCCUUUAGCCCAUGUCACACCUGCGAAAGCAUAAAGAACUCAAGGUUAGCGAGACAUUCAGGCGAAAGAUUCCGAUAAAGAACCAUAAGUAAGGGAGAUACUUACAGUCUACGUUGAAGGAAUGGGGAACCUCCACGGAGUCGCCCUUCUCACCCAGAGUCUCUGUCCCCCACCUACCCUCAGCGACAAACCAUCCCUUUCGGUAACCCUUCUUCAAGGCGGGGUUCCCCUCAACGAUGUAGCCAUGAUCACCCCAGGGGGAGAAGUAAGCAAUGCCGGGACCCUUAGGCUUCUUGAAUUGGUAAAGGCCCCUCAACUCCCGAACAGAAAUGUCGCGCUUCACGACCUCCAACCAUAACACAUGUAAGCCCGUCAGUGUCCUCCACCCUGGAAGGGACAGCUGCCCAGGAGCUACCCCCAAAUAACUAAACAUUUUCAUAAAGAAUGGUUGGAGGGGCAGGCGGAGUCCUAGAUCGAAGAGGUCGAUAUGGAGAGCAAUCCCAUCAGACUUUGGACACUCGGGUCGCUCAUCUACAUGGGGUACCCUAAGCUGGACAGACGGAGGAAUAUUGUAUUUGGCUCUAAUUUGUUCUAAGUCCCCUAAAAUAGCCCUCAUAAUGCCUAGGGAAAAAGGGUUGCUAGAUUUUGAAGGUGUGGCAGGGGGAGACUUAGGCGGCUGGACCGAGGAACGAGCUGGAACCUUAGGCUUGGUUGGCUUACCCUUCUUUCGAGGAUGGGGGGUAGGCCGUUUACUAGGAAAGCGUGGGCUGACACGAGGGGUACUCCUAGGGGGAGGGGGCUCAGAACGAGAAUUACAACUCUUGGAGGAACUAGGAGGGGACCGAUCCCCCUCGCUAAUGGAGAUGUGGGAAGGGGAACCCGCAGAAGGGCUGUCAACCCUACUAGCCCCAACUUUACGUCGUUUCAUCACGGGUCCCGUGUGUUUCUUACCCAUCUACUUUCCCCCAACAACACAUCCACAAGCCCCCAACAACACAUCCACAAGUUCCCCAAACAACACAUCCACAAGCCCCCAACGACACAUCCAGCAAACCACACGUUUCCCAAACAGCAACAUGUCCAUACCAAGCACCAUCCACCACACAUCAACCACCAAAUGCAAACACCAACCAACAAAAAAAAAAAAAAAAAAACAAACAAACACAACAAAAACCAAAAAUAAAUUUUUCUCAGAGUAUGCAAAAUAGCGCCACUGUAAAUACGCCAAAGGAGGAGAAAUGAUGAGGGAUACCUAUGGUUCACCAACUCAGUAGAUCGGGAUUGAAAAUCGUGGCAAGACGAAGCUGCAGGCAACCAAAAACAGUAAGUAAAAAUAUGCAAGUAUAAAAAUAAAAAAUAAAGCUUAUAUAUAUGUAAUUGUUUAUAAAUAAGUAAAUAAAUAAAAUGAAGAACGAAGAAGCUGCAGUAACCGGCGUCGGCUGUAAUGGCUGCAACCACCGAGAACCGACGCCGACCGCCGUAGCCACCGAACCGACGCCGAUCGCCGCAGCUGCCGCCACCAAGAAGAACCGACGUCGGAAAAAUGCAAAGGAGGACGUCGGCCAAAAAAAAAAAAAAAAAAAAAAAAAGAGAAAAAUCGAGAAGCUGCAGCCGUUAAACUAACGCCGGAAACCACCAAACCGACGCCGGCUGCCGCAGCUGCAGCCACCGAACCGACGCCGGCCGCAACCACACCAAACCGACGCCGGAAAUCACAGAGAAAAACACCAAGCCGAAACGAAAAAGAGAAAAGAAAAAGAGAGAAGAAAAAGAGAGAAGAAAAAGGAAGGAAGAGAGAAAGCACCAAGGGAAAAAUGAAGAAACGAUGAAGGGGAGGGUUACCGUGUGUAUCGCCGGACUGAGAUCUCGCCGUGAGCCGCCGGAAAUCGCCUUGAACCGACCAGAUCUGGAGCCCAAAACCGCCACUGCAGCAGCCGAGAUCCACGCCGGAAAACGUACUAGAUCAACGCCAGCCGAGAGAGAAAUAGAAAAAAGAAUGAAAGAAAAGGAAGAAAGAAAAGAGAGAAAGAGAAAGAAGAGAAAACGGAAAGAGAAGGAAAUAAAAGAAAAAGAGGGAAGAAAGAAUAAAACCUAGGGGAAGACGAAAGGAAGUAAAAAAAAAAAAAAAAAAAAAAAUUUUUUGAUGAUGUUGAUGCAUUUAGAAGAAGAGACGAAAUUAUGGAAGAAAAAGGCUACUGGAAAUAAUCAAUUUUUUGGAGUUCGUUUGGGGAUUUUCAAAAUUUUGACACACGUCAGGAGUUUUAAAUUCAACCUGACAGAACACGUUGCCCAAGAAAGGAGUUCGGGGAUGUCUGAGUGAGAUUUGUAUUUUCAAAAUUCAAACUGCGUGUCAGACGGCUGCCACUUCCCAAGAAAAAGGAGAGAGACAUAUGAAGACAACUGUUCUUUCUCAUCGUCAAAAAAAAAAAAAAAAAAGCGGGAAAAGGAAAAGACAAAGAGACGACUUUUAGUUUGAAGUACACAAAGUUUAGUCAAGGGAAGAAGCUAAGCAAGGUACCCUCCGGUCCGGCCGCGUCGCCACGUGUCACUCAUACAAUGAGUUUCUUUUGCCUCCAAUACUUCUCACCAAAAAGAAACUAGGGGGAUGUUGUUUGAGGGAAAAGUAGGAAAGGUAAUAGAGCGCCACGUGUCAGCCAAUGGAAUGAUAUCAGCACAAUCGGAGAUACCCUGCAUAAUCCGAGGUGCCCAGCAUGACUUGAGGUACCCCGUAUAAAUAGAGGUACCCUGCACAAUUAGAGGUAUCCCACACAAAUAGAGGUACCCCAUAUAAUAUGAGGUACCCCAUACAAAUAGAGGUACCCCAUACAGAUAGGGGUACCCCGCGUAAUUGGGGAUACCCCAUGUAAUUCGAGGUAUCCGGAAAAGCGAAUGCAAGAGAAUCCACCAAAAAUACCCGCCAUGAGAAACGUCUCCGCCUCCUAAAAGAUAUCAUUUGAUUUUUUCAGAAUUAGGAAUCAAAAGCGACGUGCUAAAAGGAGGGACAGCCGCCUGCUACCUCUGCCAAAAGUGAAGGACACUGUCCCAAGGACAGUGGUCCCUAGCCGCCUACCCAACAGCUACUGCAGAGGUACCCUGGACCACUCUCCAGCGCGCGCCACGUUUCCAAAAGAUGAGAUACGCCGCGAACAUUCAAAUAACGGCCCAAAAACAAUUAUAAAGAGGUAAAAGGACGUUAGCCAAAAAGGGUAUGCCACGUGGCAGCUGAGGUACUCCAUAUAUAAAGGUGCCUAGGUUUCAUUCUAGGGCAUGCUCUCAUUCGCCCAAAAACACUCACACUCCAAAAAAGAGGUUUUCUUCAACCUUAAACCCUAAUUUACAGAGGGCUAGCUAGCUCUCUUUGCCAUAAAAGCUUGAGUUUGCUAACUUGAGCGUCGGAGUGUGAACGCCGGGGUACCCCGGCUUUACCUCUAACCUCUAUUUCACUGUUUUGCAGGCGUGGAGCUCAUUUGGAAGGACACCUCUCUUGUUUAUGACCUUUCACCAUUGUUACCACUCUUUCUCCCCUUCUCACCUCCCCAGAAUUUCAGAUACACCGCACCGCACCGCACACAACAAACCAGUGAGGUACCCCAUCUCCCCUCAAAAUAACAAAUUUAUUGUUCUAGAUUGGUUUGGUUUUUCUUACCCCAAAAUCAGUUGAAAACACUUACUUUUUAAAUUUUAUCAAAGAGAGCAAUAAAUUUUGUGCCUUAUUGAUACUGUCUUCCCCAAAAUGUUGCAGAAGCUGCACCAGCUGCACCUCCAGUCGACGUGAUAUUAUCAGUUCAGCGCUCUGUUUUCGUGAAGGGAGAUCAAACCAACUUCGAGAUUGAACCAUCGUUUGGAGUUGAGGCGUCGCGGCUUUAUCCUGGUGUCAAAUACACUACAGUUGAUGAGUACCUCAAUCAGUUUGUGUAACCCUACUCUGCUGAGCUACAGCUUGCGGGACCUUAGGAAAUAAAUAAUUGGCUUGUUGCCAUCUUAAUUAUAUAUAUAUAUAAACAUUAUGGUUGUUGGUUGUUGGCCUUUCUUUUGGUUUUCGAUGGAAUUUGUAACACCAUAUUAUGCCCGCUACGUGAGUACACCAGUGAUCAAGUAAAGUAGCC